AUGAACACAAAUUGAAUUUGCUGCUUUAUUACUAAUAAUUAUUGCAAACACAACAACAGGGUACAACACAAAAAUGCCACAAUAAAUAGAAAAGCAAUCAUACACGACCAUAUUAAUCUAUGAACAAAUAAAUUAAAGAGAUCACUAAAAAUGGACUGUACUUUUCACAUUUACUUGGCAUUUACAUUUCAAAUCUCUCUUCCAUCGANNNNNNNNNNNNNNNNNNNNNNNNNNNNNNNNNNNNNNNNNNNNNNNNNNNNNNNNNNNNNNNNNNNNNNNNNNNNNNNNNNNNNNNNNNNNNNNNNNNNNNNNNNNNNNNNNNNNNNNNNNNNNNNNNNNNNNNNNNNNNNNNNNNNNNNNNNNNNNNNNNNNNNNNNNNNNNNNNNNNNNNNNNNNNNNNNNNNNNNNNNNNNNNNNNNNNNNNNNNNNNNNNNNNNNNNNNNNNNNNNNNNNNNNNNNNNNNNNNNNNNNNNNNNNNNNNNNNNNNNNNNNNNNNNNNNNNNNNNNNNNNNNNNNNNNNNNNNNNNNNNNNNNNNNNNNNNNNNNNNNNNNNNNNNNNNNNNNNNNNNNNNNNNNNNNNNNNNNNNNNNNNNNNNNNNNNNNNNNNNNNNNNNNNNNNNNNNNNNNNNNNNNNNNNNNNNNNNNNNNNNNNNNNNNNNNNNNNNNNNNNNNNNNNNNNNNNNNNNNNNNNNNNNNNNNNNNNNNNNNNNNNNNNNNNNNNNNNNNNNNNNNNNNNNNNNNNNNNNNNNNNNNNNNNNNNNNNNNNNNNNNNNNNNNNNNNNNNNNNNNNNNNNNNNNNNNNNNNNNNNNNNNNNNNNNNNNNNNNNNNNNNNNNNNNNNNNNNNNNNNNNNNNNNNNNNNNNNNNNNNNNNNNNNNNNNNNNNNNNNNNNNNNNNNNNNNNNNNNNNNNNNNNNNNNNNNNNNNNNNNNNNNNNNNNNNNNNNNNNNNNNNNNNNNNNNNNNNNNNNNNNNNNNNNNNNNNNNNNNNNNNNNNNNNNNNNNNNNNNNNNNNNNNNNNNNNNNNNNNNNNNNNNNNNNNNNNNNNNNNNNNNNNNNNNNNNNNNNNNNNNNNNNNNNNNNNNNNNNNNNNNNNNNNNNNNNNNNNNNNNNNNNNNNNNNNNNNNNNNNNNNNNNNNNNNNNNNNNNNNNNNNNNNNNNNNNNNNNNNNNNNNNNNNNNNNNNNNNNNNNNNNNNNNNNNNNNNNNNNNNNNNNNNNNNNNNNNNNNNNNNNNNNNNNNNNNNNNNNNNNNNNNNNNNNNNNNNNNNNNNNNNNNNNNNNNNNNNNNNNNNNNNNNNNNNNNNNNNNNNNNNNNNNNNNNNNNNNNNNNNNNNNNNNNNNNNNNNNNNNNNNNNNNNNNNNNNNNNNNNNNNNNNNNNNNNNNNNNNNNNNNNNNNNNNNNNNNNNNNNNNNNNNNNNNNNNNNNNNNNNNNNNNNNNNNNNNNNNNNNNNNNNNNNNNNNNNNNNNNNNNNNNNNNNNNNNNNNNNNNNNNNNNNNNNNNNNNNNNNNNNNNNNNNNNNNNNNNNNNNNNNNNNNNNNNNNNNNNNNNNNNNNNNNNNNNNNNNNNNNNNNNNNNNNNNNNNNNNNNNNNNNNNNNNNNNNNNNNNNNNNNNNNNNNNNNNNNNNNNNNNNNNNNNNNNNNNNNNNNNNNNNNNNNNNNNNNNNNNNNNNNNNNNNNNNNNNNNNNNNNNNNNNNNNNNNNNNNNNNNNNNNNNNNNNNNNNNNNNNNNNNNNNNNNNNNNNNNNNNNNNNNNNNNNNNNNNNNNNNNNNNNNNNNNNNNNNNNNNNNNNNNNNNNNNNNNNNNNNNNNNNNNNNNNNNNNNNNNNNNNNNNNNNNNNNNNNNNNNNNNNGAUCCUCACUGAUUUUGUUGGAAGAGAAGGGUCUGGUGUGUUAGUGAUGACUGACAAAAGCUGCAUGAAAUACUUAGUACUUAUAGUGAAAGUGAGUCGUUAGAGGGGAGCUGUCACUAGGGACCAGUUCAAAAUUAUUCAUUUUUAUUUAAAUUAAGCUUCACCCAGCUGGCCCUGUGACUUUUUUUUAAUCACUCUUUCUUGUUUGUUUUCCUCCAAAUGGCCAUUCUCCAACUACUUAUUAAAAUAUUAAUCAGCAUCUUAUACCUUUCCCUAAUAGUAUUGAACACUAGUUACCGUAAUUAAAUUAAUGUCCUAUUCUUUUAUCUUUCCUUCCUGGCUUCCCUGCAGACGAUAAAGUAACUCCAAAAUGCCUUUAUUUAUCUUUCUCUUUCUCUUUCUCUUUUCCAUUUUUUCCCCGAGGGAAGCCAAAUAAUAUUGUAUUUUUGCAUCCCGGAUCCAUGAGUGGUCAUGAUUUUUUGUUCAUGUCAUCGAUGGCAGGCAUUGCUAGCUUUGUAUCAAAUCCUCUUUUGUUCCAGGUUGAAGAUAUUUUGACUUUUCAAUACUAUUUUUUUCUGUACAUCUCGAACACAAGCUUUUGGCAGUUUAUGAUAAAGAAUAAUCCAAAUUUGCCUUAAUAUGCUACACAGUCCACGUGUUCGAGGGGUUACGAUACAAGUCGAAUUACCUUAAUACGUUGAUUCGAGUGGGGAGAAGGAGACAGAAUGAGAAGUUGCUAUGAGAAGAGUACAAGUUCGCCACCUCUUUGGUUCACUCCACCUGUUAAUGUUUUCUUUUUCUUUUCUUUCUCUUUCUUUAAGAAUUUUCCCCGCCAUAUACGUGAUUCCUCAAUGAUGAGAUCAGCAUGUGAUGUUGUCAACACCAGCAUGAAGUGCACGUUGCUGCUUUUGCAGCUAAUUCGUGGUACCCAAACUUUAGAGGGGAACGAAAACAAAAAUGCUAGCAAGAGUAACGAGGGAAAAAUAGUGAUUUCUAGGUUAAUUUCAUUUCGUGCAAGAAAUAAUUAUUGGUAUUUUCUUGAACCCUCAACUUUAGCUAGCUAUGCCUUAAAUCUGUAGAAGACGACAUUUUUGACGUAAGUCAUGAACCAUUAAGUCUUUCUACUAAAUGUUUCUGUUUGGGCACUUCGAAAUUUCUGAACACCUUUGAAGAAAUAUUUCAGUAACAUACGAAGAAACCAUUCCAGAAAAUAAAAAAUUGAAAUGUGCACAUAGAACGGAAUUGUUACUGCAAUGUGUAGUCAGGGAAUUCAUUGGGUUUUUCUCUUAAUAUGUUCCUUUGUGAUGAAUUUCAGAGGAGUUCAAAGAUAACUAACUAGCUUUGCGUGAUGCAUUGGUUUUAGCAAUUGAUCAAUGUCGGCAUGUGAGAUAAAUUUAUGGCAUGAAUAAUCAAUAACUGUAACAUGAAUGAAUGAAACGUGCACACUAUGGUUCGCUUAUAAAAUAUAAUAUAAUUGAACAACUAAGCAUUUGCCAAUUAAAAAUAGCCCUACAGUCCCAAAGGAGGAAAUCUACAGGUACAUUUUUCUAUGAAGCUCCGGACAUAUCUAGUUUUAUUUUUAUAUGGUUUGAAGAGUCAAGAUUCCCUGAUAAUCUCUGGAAAUGGAAAAACUAAUAGUAAAUGAUUUUUACAUAAGCAAUACUGACAUUGUAAUUAUAUGAUAUGAUGUGCAGUGUUUUGAAGGGAAAUGUGGUAACUUUUUUUCAUUUUAGUACAUCUGGUCUGUUUAUUUACCGUUCUAAAAGCGAAUUCCAGUGUAGUUAUAUGUCCCAUUGAUCAAGAUUACCAUAUGAUGUGUGCAUUAACUGUGUCCCCAUGUGAACCUACUAAUAAUUAAAUUCUAAUAGCCACCCACACACACUCUCUCUCAUUGUUUAUGUUAGUCAAUGCCGUGAAGUAGAACGUAUCUGAAUUAAGGUGUAAAUAGAACAUGGGGUUGUUGAAUUUAAGGGAAGAUAAAUCACUUGCAUUUGAUUAGAAAAUUUUAAACGUUAAUAGGAAGGAUAUCUGUUCCAUGCAUAAUGAGAUUAAGAAGUGGUAGUCAUAGAGGGGUGGAAAAGUUAGAAAGUGAGAAGGAUUGGACAGCUUGGGAGGGAAUAAUAGUAAGAUAGAGGAAACGCGAGUCCCUUUCGAUGCUUUAUUAUGUAGAAAUGAUAGGAGUAAAUCACAGUGAAAAAUCAAAGAAAGACUUUUCCUAUAAGAGCAGAUAAUAAUUAUAUUAAAGUUGUUUGGAGGGCCACACCAUCAACCACUUCUGGUCCUAAAAUUCUCACGUUUAGGUGCAGUGCAGGUUGUUGCAAUUCUGCAGAAUCAAGUUAUCUUCAUCAACCAUUAAUCUGAGCACCUCAUCUUCCCCUUUUCCUUUUAUUCUUCUCCUAGCUAGGAAUGAGAUCACUUAUGUACUUCUCUAGUUAUAUUCAGAAUUUAGGACUUUGCUUUUAUGCUUUUGAUUUUGACAAGAGCAAAAUGAUUUAUCCAAUACCAAAUUCAUUAUAUAACGAAUGAUUUUCGUAGCUUAUUUGCUUAUUUGGUCAACUUGUAGUUGUACACUUCUCUCUUAUUGUGACGAGGGACUUAGGGUUAAAACGGGGAAGGUGAUGAAAUGAAAUCUCUCUCUUUCUGUUUUGCAAAAGAGACAUUGACUUAAUGCUAAAAAAAGAGCAAUAGAACACCAUGACCAAAUAUAUUAGAAACAUAAUAACAGUAAUUGAUUUUGUUUGGUCUUUCAAUUAUGAAGUGAGGAAAUCUGGGCUACUUUAAGCAUAUAAUUAAACUUAAGGUUAAGGGGUUAUUAGCUGUUGCAGAAUUCAUCAUAUAAUUAAACUUUUGUUAGUCCAAGUAGGAAACAACACCCUCCAAACUAAGAUGACAAUAUAGCCAGGGGUAAUACAUUAUGGAGGACAUAUAUUGAUGUUGACAGGUACAUGUUUAUCACAAAUAGUUGUUGACCAAAAUAUGUUACAGCUAAAAUGUAUAUGUGAUGAGAUUCAAUUUACCUAAUAAUCUAAUACAACAACAAUAGUCAUAUCCUAUUAGUAUUAGAUGAGGUUAGUAGCAGGUAACAGGGAUAACUGCAUAAUUUUGCAUAUGAAUAAAAUAAAAAAUACAUGACGAGUAACUCGAUUAAAGAAAAGCUUUAAAAUUGUUCCUUUUGGUAUUAUUUCUCUGACGAAGACUCAAAGGACAAUAUGGGCUAGCAAUAAAUGUGUUUCGCUGAAAUUAAAAAUGCCAUAAUAAUUCUGAUUACAUACUUUCUGCACGUGCUGAUGGUAGCCGGGGUGUAUUCCUUUGUAGAUCUACGUUCUCAAGUGAAAAGUAUACAUGUUGAUUCUUUUUGAAGUGGCCGUCUUGUGCUUGGUUUACAUCUAAUUAAGGAAAAUAAAAUCAAAAUCUGUUUAUGCUUUUAAUUUUCCUGAUCCAUACUUUCACUUUCACAUGAUCGAAUGGGAUGAUUCUUUUCUUUCCUCUCAUCCUCUUUAUAUAAAUUCACAUGAAAAAUAACUAAGGUAGUAAGGUGCGUCUUUCUUUUGUUUACAAAAGGUCCUAAAUGCUAAUAGUUCCUUAAUUAGUGCAGUAAUGCCACCAAUUUGCCACGUAAAUGAAUUAUUGUCUGGCUAGCACAUGCAUUAAUUCAGUAACGGAUCUAAGAUCCUGAGUGGGGAUGACAGAAAUACAUAUUUAAAUUAAAUAGGAUAAGUUGUAUGACAGCCAUUAAUUAUUAUAUAUAUUGAUGCAACAAAUAACGAAUUACAACAAAAAAAAUAUAUCUUAUCUUAUUUAGUUAAUUGAGAAAAAGAUAAAAAUAAAUUUUUGAAUUAAAUACUUAAAUAAAAAUAACAAAUACAUGAAAGGAGUAAAAAAUUAAAAAUAAACAGUUCAAAUAUACAAAAUUAGGAGGAGCAAAAUAUACAUAUUUAAGGUAUUUAUGUAUAGUUUUUUAAAAAUAAGGGGGCACAAGUGCACCCCUAAAAUGUAUAUACAUUCGCCAUGCAUCAAUUAAGUUUGAAGUAUAUGUCUUACAUCGAGAAAAUACUUAUAACUUAAUUCAUAUGUUAUUUAUAGAGUCUAUCGAAUUUAUCGAUAACAGUCAGCACCAAACACCACCCUAGUGUCACCACCAAUAAAACCAAAGGCCACCAUCAAAAUCACCCCCAAACACCACCAUCAAACCACUAAACACCGCAUGCUCCUCUUUCUCUUAGAUUUGUGACCUUGAUGUUGUUGUCGUGCAUAGUGUGCUGGCUGGUGUGGGUAGUGGCGUGCUUUGGAGGAGGUGGUGCGAGUGGAAAUGCGACACAAAGGAGAUGAGUGAUGAUGGCGCGAUGGUUAGAGUUGUGGUUGAAGGAGAAUUUGAGGGGAUGGAAGGAGAGAGAACCCAAAAAAGAGAGAUAAGAAACAUAGUUCCGCACGUCAAAUUUUGAGUGGAUACUCAUGUUUGGAUUUGUCCAGAUCCAAAAAAGAGAGAUAAGAAACAUAGUUCCGCACGUCAAAUUUUGAGUGGAUACUCAUGUUUGGAUUCGUCCAGAUCUAAUUUCGAACAAAAAAAACAACACAUUUCAAUUUUAGGAGGAUGAACAACACAUCAAAAAUUUAUAAGAAUGGAUUUUAAAUUUUUUGAUAUUUAUAUAAACAAAAAAUAUAUUUUAACAUUUUUUAAUCAUAUUAUUGAAACGAAUUAUCUAUCAGUUUUACCAAUGAUUAAUCUAUUUUAGAAUAUUUAAAUGAGAAAUGUGUCUUUUUAAUAAAAAGUGGACAACUAAAGGUUUGUAUUUUUUUUUAUAAUUAUAGAGUAUAUUUCCGAAAUAUGUGUAUAAAAAAUGUGCAAUUUAACUUAUAUUAUAUUAUUUGAUUAUAGAAUCAACUUGAGUUUCAUAAAUUCAUUAAUGAAAUAUUUCAAUAGCAUUAAUUAGUGGAUGCAAGCAAAGAAUACGUAAUACCUUUUUUUAAGAACACAUAAUACUAAACUCACCGAGAGGGAGAAAUUAUAUGGUUUAACCGUUUAAGUAUAGAAGAAUCUAAUAAAUUUCAACACCCGGUUUCGUUGGUUUAUCUUGUAAUAUUCAAAGGUUGCAACUUCAUGUUAGAUUUGAAUUCUGUAGUUUGUUUAUUGACAUUUGGCACCGGAAUCAAAAGUCACUGUACACAUACAGAAUACUAUUUACAGAGACAGAAAAGAAUAAGGAAAAAGAUUACUCAGUAAUUUUUACACACCUCACUCAAUUAUUGUAUAAAUUUUUUGUUAUCUAAUUGUAGUUGUUUCUGUUCUACCCGAAGUAAUUAAGAAAAUUAAUUUUAACCAAAUUCUGUUAAUUGUUUUGAUUGACGUUUUUUUUUAUUGACUGAGGUCUGAGGUUUGAGAUGUACGAACAACAAUGCUAGCUCUGAUGUGACUAAGAUGCCGUAAACAAAGGAUAGGUACUUAUAAAAAAGUACUUCAAUUAAGAUCUCGUGCCAAUAAAUCUAGCAAAAUGCUAUACAAAUGUAUUAUAGAAAUGUUUGUCUAACACUAUGAUGUUUAGUUGUAUUUAUAAAAAUUUAAGAAGAGCUAAAUUUAUUGACACGAGAUCUAAGGUCUCUCAAAGGUAAUAUUAAUUAUCUUAUUUUAGAGUAGUAAUAAGUUAACUUUACUAUGGAUAAAUAUGCAUUUUAUUGUUUACAAAUGUAUUAUAGAAAUUUUGCGCUAGGAUGAGAUGCAACUUCGGUCAACACUUAUUAAAUUGGCCUAGUUCGAUCCUUAAUGCCAAUGCGACUAAUCAGGUGGAUUAGACUUUAAGUCAAGUCCAUAACAAUUCAUGCAUCUUGGCAUGCUCUGCAUGUCAAGUUUCUAGUUAAAUUUCGAGGUCUUUGUUUGAUUGAAGAUAAAAGGACAUAGUUCAAAGUGUAGUUGUAAUUAUACAUUUUCAUAAUUUGUCUAAGUUGUAAUUUACCAAUUAGUCGGGCACAUGACAUAUUUUGUUUGAAUGCCAGUCCUCGAAGGGGCAAAAAAAAUUUAUAUGAUCGUAUAAUGAUUUUUCUACAUUAUUUUAUUUUAUUUUCAUAAAUAGACUGGAAUUAUUAUUUUAUUUAUGUCUUUCUUUUUUCAAAUUAAAAUGUAACGUCAAAUGAAAAAGUAUUAUCUGAUCGGUUAUAAGUUUUUUCUUAUAUGUUACUUUAUAAAUUUAUAUUGAAUGAGUUUUCAUUUUAAUGUGGCAUAUCAACAUGUAAUAUAUCUCUGAUAAUAAACUUGAAAUAUUUUUUAUUUUAACAAUAUAAAAACGCAAAAAAAAUCAAAUUAGAAAAGAAACAAUAUUAUACUUUAGUACCUUAAUUAAAAAAAAUAUGUAAGUAUAUAUUUUAUCAAUGAUAUAUGAAACUAGAGCAUUUUUUUUCAAAGACAAAAUAUAAAAAUUAAAUUAAAAUGUAAUUAUAAAAUAAAUAUUUUAAAAUAUAUAAGUAAAUUAAAAUUAUAAAAAAAAUGUAACAAGUUCUAUGCAGGUUUACCCAAAAUUUAAUAAAAUCCAACAAAGAUGGGAAGAGAUUUAAAAAAUAUAAACCCAUCUCUUUUAAAUCUAAACCUUUUUCCCCUUUUGUAGGAAUGGGGAUGAGGACCAACCAGUGUGGGAUCCAAUUUUUUUUUUUUUAGUGAGGGCAAGAAAUAAUUUAGGGUUAAUUAUGUUUUUUAUCUUAAAUUUAUUGCAAAUUUCACUUUUAGCCCCAAAAUAAUUUUUUAGUAGUUUUAGUCCUUUUUUUUUUAUCUUUGUUAGAGGAUUUACUCUUUGUUAUUGAAUAUCAACGUCAAUUGAUUACGCAAUAUCCAUGUUUGACAGGACAAUCAUAUGUAAUAUUUUUUAUAAAUUGUGUUUUUAAUCUCUCGUAAACUUGUUUAACAUUAUCAACUAAUAUGAAUAAAUAAGAUAUAAAAAAUAUGGUUUAUCAAGAAAAAUUAAAUGUAAAAUAUUCUCAAACUCCUUGAUGAUAUAACAAGUUAAUAGAUUGUUUUAAUUACAUGAAUGAUUAUGCUAUCAAUUAACAUUGUUAUUUGAAUAUGGGAACUAGAACUAUAACAUUAAGUUAAUAAGAAAUUAUAAGGAUCAAAAACGUUUAAAAAUUUGUUUAAGGACUACAAGUAAAAUUUACAAAAAAAGUUUAGGGACCAAAAACAUAAUUAAUCCAAUAGUUUAUAAUAUUUUUGAAAAAUAAAAUAUCACAAUUUUUUUUUAUAAAAAUACAUAAUAUCAUGACAAAAUAAAUCCAAACUAUUUAAGUUUCUAUAAAUCACAAUUGUUUUCUACACAUUUUUAUACUUUAAAAAUAUUUUAUAUUAUUUUCAUUGUCAAUAUUAUAAAUAUUAAAAGGAUAUAAUGAAAUUUGUAUCAGUUUAUUCUUCUUUUUUUCCAUAUUUUUUACAUUCAUAUAAAAGUUUAUUUUAUGGGAACAAUACCUAUUUUUGUAUAGGAGUAAUUUUUUUUAUUACACAUACAAAUAAUAAAAAACUUGUGGGAGCAAUUUCCCCAAACCAUUACGUGUGCAUUGGUCAAUGAGACGGAUGCAUUUUGUUGUCAUGUCUAUCUUAUAUUAAAUAUUUAUGUAUAUAUAAUUCUUUUGAAAAUAAAUUGAAUUACAGAUAAGAGUAUAUUGAAUAAAAAAUAUAUUAAAACUAUUUUAUUUGUUGUAACAAAAUAUAUCAAAAUUUACUAAAGUUUGGUGCCUAUUUUUAUGUAAUAUAUAUUUACGUUUUUAAAUAUAAAAGAAUUUUUUUGAGUAUUUCAUCCUUGGUCUAUAAAAUCCAAAGACCGAUCCUAUUUUUAUUAAUUACAUUGUUACAGUGUUGUGUCUUUUGUUAAUUUAUAUAAUAAUAUUGUGAUUCGAUCUGUUAUAUGUAGUCAAUUACUAUGAAUUUUUAAUUAAUUAAAGUUUAGUCUAUUAUAAUUAAAAUUUAACAUUUAACCCUCUUAAAGAAAAUGCUCUGGCUGCCCCCGUGUCAUACUUUUAUGGUAGUAUUGCAAGCAUGAGCCAGCUGGUUGGUGGCUAGCUAGUAGCUAGUGUGAUGUGUGAUGUGUGAUGUGUGAUGUGUGAUGUGAUAACAAGCAGUAUAUCCAUCCUUAUCGAUUAUAAGGAAAGUCUUUCCAUCCUUUUCUUCGUGUUUUCAUUAAAAGUAAACAAUUUCGCUAAUUAAUCAUAUCGAUCGUGCAAGUGUGGUGAAGUUUCAUACUGAGCAAAAUUACAAAAUUUGAACAACAUGUAUAAAUGAAAAAAAAAAUAAUUAUAAAUCUAAAUAUUAAAAUUUUAAAUUAAAGUGUGAAAUCAGCUUAUCUAAAUAUAAGCCAAAUGAUUAGUGCUGGUAUGCGUCAAUUCACUCCCAAACCCAAAGUCUCUUUUCUUUUUCAAUAGCUGCAGGCGCAGACCAUCCAAUUUAACUCAACCAACCUGGUAUAUUUUAUUAUGACUUUGAACAACACUUGUGUGAAAAAGUUUAACUCUCAAAAUAUUUUUACUUUUACUCUUAGGAACGACAUCUAAAUUUUUAUUCAAUUCAUUACGCAUCGAUUCCAUGUAUUCAUGAACAAUGGACUUUAAUCUUUAAUAUUUUAUCUCAUUUUAUUUUCAUUUCUAAUGAAAAUCAUAUAUAUGCAAGUUAAAUAUUAAUGCACUUAAAUUCGAAUGUCAUUAUAUAUUUAAUUCUUUUAAGGAAUAAAUCAGAAGAAAAAAAUGGGAUGGUAACAUGUUGCAAUAUACGAUAGGCCGGAUGAUGGCCGAUAAGGAGUCACUAUAAGCUCUCAAUAAUUUUUUUUUAUGAAAAAAAUAGUACAUAUAUUGACCUGGGAGUCAAUGCUGCUGUCGUGUUCAAAUUGCACAAUAAUUCUUGGCCAAUGCUAGCUUUAAACCAAUUUUAGCAUAAAAAAAAUAAAAUCUAGUAUAUUGUUGAAUACAGCUGUGAUUAUGAAAAAGGCAAUUUUAUAUAUUGAUGAAUUGAAUUUGGAGUGAGAUGGACCACGUGCAUGAUGCUUCGCAUAUAUAGCCGCCGGGGCCCACCAUUUACAUUUGAAAUUGCAACUUGCUUAAAUCUUUUGUCCUCAAUCUUAUGUCUCUACAUUCCUACGUGCAACUUUUAACACCCGACUUGGGUAUCGUCCAUGUCUCAAUAACAAGUUUCAACUACCUCCAAUCUUUUUGCUCCAUUUUUGUUUUUGGGCACUUUGUUUAACCUAUUAAGCAGACUAUAUUGUAAAUCUAUCGAAACUCCCCUUAUGUAUUUUUAAAUUCUACUUUAGGUGGGAGUUUAUAUACUAACAUAUAUGCAUGUAAUAUUAUAGUUAAGACACUUGGACAGUUGAACAUUAUACAUUAAUGCUAGCGAAACACGUUUGUUUGCACAAGAUAUUAAUUUAACUCACUUCAACUCCGCGUGUUUAUCCAGAUGUGACUGCUCAGCUACAGAUUAAUUAUUACUUAUAUAUAUGUUGAAACAGACAUAUGUAGUCAAUGGUGAGGGAGGUUUAUAACUAAAUCAUCGAUCUUAUAGAGAGUGGUAGAUUGGUAAUGCCAUGUAGUUGAAACUGCUGGAUCCUGUGGCUUUGUACUAUUCUGGAGGGAUAUAUAACUAAUUAACUAUACCUGAAAAAGGAAUUUUGCUUGUAAUGGAAAUUUAAAUUUUUAUGAUUUAUAUAUAAUUAUAUACUAUAGUACAUGUUAAUUUGAAUGGAUACUUGUACUCGAAAAUCAAAUCUCUAUUCGAUCAUGUCAUUAAUGUAGUUUCAUGCUUCCUGUAGUUCCGACAUAUAACAUGAAAAAUGGCAUAUAUGACCCAUUAUGAUAUCUAUGUCCCGUGACUUUGCCGUCUAAUUCAAGCAAUUUUGUUAAUUAGCGUAAUUUCUUUUCCCUUAUGUGUAAAUAGAUACAAUGUGUUAAUAGUACCACUCCCAAAAGGUAACACAUUUACAUGCAUGCAUGUAACAUUACAAUAACUCUUAUUCAGAAAUGUAUGUAGAAUAUAUAAAUACUUGUAACUAUAUCACAGUAUGUACCCGUUGAUAGAGGCAAAAUCUGAGAGAAAAAUAAAUGUAGAUCUUUAGAUCUAUCAUGAUAUAUUAUAUAUACUUGAUGGCUGUCUCGGUGAAAAGGUGCAGCACCAACAAUAAUGGAGAUGAUAAAAUGCAAGGAAAAGAAAAAGAAAGAGGACACUCAGUUGAUACUUGAUACCUAUCCUAUAUAUAUAUAUAUAUAUAUAUAAUACUUGUUGGUCCUUUUUUUUCAGAGGAAAAGAAAAAUGAAGAGUACACUCAGUUGAUACCUACCCUAUAUACUAGCAUAUAUAAUACCUGUUGAUCCUUUUUGUCUGAAAAAAUUGUGACCCUUAACAUUGAUCUAUUAAUCUUACAUUCAUAUUCCAAUUUCCCUUCCUUCCCAGUUCCCACCCCCAGGCCCCGGGCAGUAUAUUCCGCAAAAGUUUUCGUAUAUGCUGUUAUUUUCAAUCAGUCUAUGGUGUUUUUGGACAAAACAAAAAAGCAUAUACGAUGUCGUUUUCAUUGAAAAUACUUUUUUUAUUCUUUAAUAACCCAUAUGCUUUGCAUCUGUAUGGCAGUAUGUCUCGGACUUCAAUUGAUUAAUUUGACAAGGAACAGUAUUUUUUGAAUUUAAUAAGUUAGAUAACUUGAAUAGAAUCAAACCCUUUAUCACUUCAAAUUUUUUUUGGUUAUAUUUUUAUCACUUUAUUGUAAAGGCCUAUUAUUCUUUUACUACGUACACAUUAAAUGUUUGGUAGGUAAUUUCUCAGAUUAAAUCAUGCUUACAUGUACAAAAGGUUGUAUCUAAAAUGGUGACUUUAAAAUGAUUAAAUCAUGCUUACAUGUACAAAAGGUUGUAAUUUUUUCUUAACUAUGUUGUAUCCAGCUUGCCAAUAAGCCUAUAUAAAAGGUCAUAUUGUUGUGGUACGUCUAGUAAUGAGAUUAUAGCUAGAAAACCAUUGGUUAUAUAUAUCUUCAUUUUGUAAAAUGAAUAAUAACAUAAAGAGUACUAUACAUAGAAAUGACUGAAUUUAUAGAUACAAAAUAUCAGUAAUAUGUUUGGACAACAAUUAUUUUUAAAUAUGUAUUUUUACUUUGGUCUUUAUCAUUUCAUUUUUACUUUGAUCGGAGUCUUUGCCAUUAUCUACAACCAAAUCUUGAACUUUUUAAAUUUGCACUGCGUUGAAUCAAGUCAUGUGAUCAUCCUUUAUAAAAAGAAAAAGUCAUGUGAUUAUCAUGUCUUUUUUUAUAAUAAAAAAAAGUAAAAAAAAAAAAGGCACCAGCGGUAUAGUUAUUUGAAAAAAUAAAACCAUGUUUAGGAAGAAACAUUCAACAUCUCAGUAUAAUCCGUUGCUUUACAGUGAAGCUAGGUUUGAAGGUGAAGAAUUUUGUAAGGAUCAAUUAUUGAAAGGUUACUAUCUUAUUAUGCAAGUUAAACAAAACAAAAAUAUAUACUAGUAUAUUUUAAUGAAAUGAUUGUGAUGUGGGUUUUGAAGAUGGAGAUUAAAGAUUGUAUAGAAUUUCAGCCAAAAGACAAGGAAGUGAGAUUAGAAGUAGCGCCAAAAUUGGUGAGAAUAUUGGCCCUACACACAUACAUAAUUUUUCUUAUCCCACGUGGAAUUGAUUGGUCGCAUUUUUGUUAUUUUAUUUGAAAUGGUAACCCAAUCAUGACGACUCACUACUCCCUUCUCUUGGCCAGAAGCUUCCGGUGUUUUCGUUGAAAAGUCGCCACCAGCUACUUCCACCAUUAUUCAUCAAACUUACUUUCAAUUUAUUUCUUCAAACUUUUCACUUAUCUCUUGUCUUGGUAUCCUAUGUUUCUCUUCUUCUUUUUUUUUAAUUUGCUUUCUCGUCUUACCAACCCACCCAAUAUCAAGAUUGUUCAAAAAUUAAUUACCAUUUAAUAAAAUGAUAUGAUUUUUCAUAAAACAGAGUAUAAAUAAACUGCAAUUUCAUUUUCGGUCAUCUUACAAUUUAUGUAUGCAAGUGCAGAGAUAAGGACACCAAUCAAUUUAUGAACUUCGUUAAAAAAAAAAAAAAACAAAAUGUUAUGAACCAGAAUAUAUUAUAUAUGUCCCAUUUUCAUUGAGCCACAUAUUGUCAUAUUCUCAUUAUUCCUUCCUAAAAUAGUGAAUUGACUAUUUCAACAAAUAUGUCUCUUACCUAGUCCCGGGGAUUCGAUGAAACCACUUUUAUUAAGCUACAACUUGAUUAAACUUUGUUACUCUUAAUUACUGCUAUAGUAUAUUGCGAUGUUUUGUAUCGAUGACCAAUUUUUUGCACUACACUCGGGUACUUUUAUUUUUGUAAGUUAAGAAUUUUAGAAUUACAUGCAGAUCGCCAACCACAAAACAGGAAUUAGCACAAUUACACAGCAAUUUCCAAACACCCUAGGACGCAACUAAGAACCAUCUGUCACUGGGACAACUAUUGACUAUUGUACAUAAAAGUAUCUGAAUCUGAAUUUAACAAAAAGAAGUUUAAAUAUACAAUGGCAUAUUAAAAUAUGACGUCGUGUGUAUAACAUUAAUAUUAUGGAACGGUACGUAGCAAAAGUCUUUGAUAAACUUAAGUUAGCAAGGCUGUUAAAGUAGAGUAAUAAAGAGAAAGUUACCCACGCAAAUUUGUACUCCUGUCCAACGCUAAUUGAUUGGGUUCCUCGAACCUCGAAUCUCUAAUCAAAUGGAUGGACAACAACACACUUUAUAACAAAUUUAGGUGUACUGCAAUGCCUUAAAUGUUUCUACUGUUAUUUUCAAUCAACUUUACCUGCUUGUAUUUCUCUCCUACAGUAACUCCGUUCCAUCAAUUAUGUUUCGAUAAAAAUUGCCCCAGAAAUUUUAUUUUUCAUAACGUCAUUUUUUUUGGUUUAUUUCAUAAGGUCAUUCAAUCAGGCCGAGAGGUAUCUCAACAAUAAUCAGCCACGACAUUAGUUUGAUGUUAACUUUUAUUUAUGGACUAUUGAAGUAAAACCCAAAUUUUGAUUUAAAAAAAGUAAAAUAUUGUGUUUACAUUUUAUCCAUUUUCAAAAUUAACAACUAAAAUAUAUAAAGAUGUAUCUAUCUAAAGAAAUUAAUUUUUCUUCUCUAACUAUGCUGCGAAAUUUAGGGAUGUUUUGGAUUAUUGUUCGGUUGUGAUAUGUUAAUUACUUUGCGAAAAAAAAAUAUAAAAACCCAUAGGAGGAUAACUAAUACUGUCGGUAUAAGAAAAGUCAUUACGUGACAAAGUUGGUGUUGACCAUCGUUUUUAUUAAAGGGCCCUACUUGCUAAAACUGUAGUAAACACAUACUCAUUAAUAAGGUAAAUUGUCUAUCUGCUCCGUCCUCUACGAAGUUUAUUAUGUGUAAAUGUUGUAUCAAGUACUAUUUUUACCCCUCAGAGUAAUUAAAAUUAAGGCAUUUUCUAGUACAUUCACAAAAGACCGACUACUUAAAAAGUGGAAAAUUAAUGAGGGCUUGGCCCCAAAGAGGUGAAAUCUUAAUCUAUAAAGGUCAAUGUUAUCAAACUUAAGAGUUUAAGUAGAUUUAUAAAAGUUUAUUUUAUAUAAAAAUAAUAACAAACUAUUUAUAAAUAACAUAUUAAUUAAACAUUUCAACAAUAUAAGAAAGGAAAAUAGUAAAUCAUAAAUUUCACAAUACUUAAAUAAUCAAGUCUAGGAAUGCAUCACUACUAGAUAAUAACUUGCAUAUGUUAUAAUAGUGGUAGAUCAUUCUCAUCAAGAGUUUGAUUUUAUUAGAGAACAAAUCUUUGAUAUUAUUAAAUGUGAGAAUUUUUUAUUCGGGAACAAUACAAUAAAUGAAGGUAUAUUGAAUACUAAAUCGAUAGAAAACAACCCAAAAUAACUUAUAAUUUUUUUUAACUUGUUGACUCGUUAAUUCGGUGAUAAACUCGAGAGUUUACUAAGUUUACUUAUAGUUUAUAGGAUCUAUCCAGAGUCUACUAAAAAAAGAGUUGCAUACAAAUCAACUCACACAUAGACUCGUAAACUCGUAAAAAUUAGUAAAUUAAUUCAAUAAUUUGAUAAUCAUCACCGCCAAGAUUGUGAAAGCUAUAGAGUACUUCCAUAUUAUAUGCAGAUCCACUUGGCUGCAAACAAAAGACCAACAACUAACAUACUUCCAUAUUCUAUUUUUUAUUUUUUUUCUGCCCUUCAUUUUGCCUUUGUAUCCUAAUUAAAUUAAAUACUAGUUAAAGAUAGUAAGAUGUUUUCAUUAUGAACCCCACCCCCCAUCUCAUUUUCCACCACAAAUGCAACUCGAAAGUUGUGACUUGUGAGAAGACAUUAUCUUAAGCUCUAUGCAUGCUCCUCAAUUACAAGACAUCAUCAUGCUUUGCCAAAACCUCAUAAUGCCACUCGAAAGUUGGGCUCACGAUAGAUUUGAUUUAAUUGAAUCAAGCUUUCACCUUUUUUAUUUAUAGAUCAAUCAUGAGAAUACGACUAUAUAAUAGCUUUUCUCUUUCCCUCUUUUCUGACCAUGAAAGUAUUGAACGAGUUUACAGCUACCAUGCAGCAACCAAGUUACAUCAUACAAGAUAUACAUGGUACGUUUUAAAAGCUUAAGAUUGAGUGGCUAUAAACAUGCACCUGUUUUACACAUCAAUGUUAAUGUUAAUUCUCAAAGGACCAAGUAUUCAAGUUGAAGAACCAGUUUGCGGGCAGAAUGGACUAGCUGGCUUCUUGCAUGCCAUAGUCUUAUUCAUGAAACUUUCAAACCAGAAACUGGUUAUGCUCUUCAAUUGACUAAAAGCACGAGGCUUUGCGCAUUAUGGAUGGAAAUUUUUCUGGCAUGGUUGGUCAACACCCAUCAUUCAGGAUAAACUGUUAAGCAGAAAGUCAAGGCCUCAUCUGGAUCUUAAAAUGUUUAUUGUUUGUAUACGGGCUUAUGAAAUAUUCACAUUUACAGGCUAAACAAGACUCCCUCUGUAUGAUGUUUUAGAAAGAAAAUAAAUUGUUCCAAAUUAGUUUUCUUUUUACAAAAUCAAUGAUGCAUUUUUUUUUUACUGCAAACCAAUGAUAAGAAAUGCUAAUUCCCUUGUGAGAAUCCAAGCAUUGCAAUGGAUUACGAAUGUAAUGCUUGCUUAUUCUUUCUUCGAUUUCCAAAUCCAAACACAUCAAGAAAUGCUAAUUUCCCUGUGAGUAGUAAGUUGCAUUUUUUUGUUUUUUGGUCAGAACAGAGUAAGUGGCAUUUGUUGACAAAACAAAUUGAAAAUGCAAGGUGGACUUCGGUUUCAUUCGUUGGCCCAUUCAACAGCAUCUUGCUAACACACCCAACUUCGCCAUUCCCACAACGAAAAAUCCAGGUAGAAAAUUUAUUAACUACCACAAAAAUAAUCACAACUUUUACCAAACCAGUAGUCUAGUACUAAUAUUUAUCACAAAAAAAAAAUGAAACUUAUUUUUAAAAGGUUUAAAUACGCAUUAUAAGAAGAAAUAUUUAAUAAUAUUUUUUAUCCCCCAUAAAUAUUUGAUUUUUGUAUUUGUUUCCUAAUAAAUCUUUACUUUAAGUUUAGUCCCUAAUAAAAUAUAAAAUUCAUUAAUUCAUCAGACAUUAAAAUAAAAUUAUUGUUUUAUUAUGAACUUAAUAUAAAAUAAAAAUUUAUUAGGAAGUAAACAGAAAAAUUGAAUACUUAUUAGGAAUCAAAAACAUAUUUAAACUUUUUAAAAAUAAUUAAAUUUCAAUUCAUUUAAGGUUCAAUUGAUAAGUAAUAAAUAGAAAUUAACGUUAUACAAAUUUUAUAUCCUCUCGUGAUUAUACUUUGUUAGGUAAUACUUCUGGUGUAUACAUAAAAAAAAUUCGUCUGUUUUGAUUCGGCUAAUUUUAAAGAAAAAAAAUUAUAAAUUUCUAAAAAUCUAAAUAAAAUAAAAGGUAAUGAAUAUGAGAUUUAUUCUAUUAUGUAAUACAAAAACUACAAAUAACAACAUAUCUUAUAAGAGAAAGUAUUUUAUAUGACACUACAAAUAUUAAAUCUAGACUGUAUAAUUAUAUAUGAAGGAUUAAAAUUUAAUGUCAAAAACUCAUAUAACUUUUUAAGUGAUUAUAUAACAUUAAAUCUUGACAAUUCAUAUUUAAUUAUAUAAUUUAUAUUUAAUUCUCUCACUUUCAUAUAAAAUAUCUUUUUCUUAUAUAAUAUGCCAUCAGCUGCCAAUAAUCAGAUUUUUUUUUUUGGAAAGGGACAAAUAUUAGAUUUACAACCAACUUAAAUAAACUUCUCCCUAAGUAUUUAUAACACAAGAAAAUAAAAAUGUAAAGUUAAUGUUAGCUGUUCAAUACACUUGAACUUUAUAGAAACUCAUUACAUUUAACUUUUUCAAAAAAUACGUAAGUUAAUGUUAGCUUUUCAAUACAAUUUACCUCUCUAUUUUGCUUUCUUACAAGUAUUUGUAGAGAAUUUUAUUCAGACUAAGUUUUUACUUAUUUUAUACCGGCUAAAAAAACUUGUUUGAUGGUUUUGAUAAAUAAAUACUUUUAAUAAUUUCUGAUAUUUUUUUAAGUAUAACUUGAAGUAAUAUUUUUUUAAAUGUUAAUUUCUAUCUUCUAAUUUUUUAUAUUUUUAUCUUUAAAAUAUUCAAUAAAUUUUCUUAUUAUCUUUUUUUAAAUAAAACAAGAUUUUUUAUUUAUUUUUUUUUCACUCAUUUACAUUAUUGCUCACAAAACUGAUAAUUAUAAACAUUAGAUUUUUUUUUGAAAUAUUUAUAGGAGACAAUUUAUUUUAACUAUGAUACUAAUUAACAUAAUAUAAUACGGGUAUAAUGUUUAUUUAACUACAUGUUUUUUUUUACUUUAUUUUAAACUUGAUUAAAAAUAUUUUAAGAUAUAGGAUAAGAGUAGUAGUUGCAUACAUAAUAUAAAAAUCUAAUGACUGAAAUUAAAAAUAUAAUUAAAAUAACUUAUAUAUAAAUAAAAAUUACAAGAGUUUAAAAUUAAUCAAAAAACUAAAAGUAUAAUAUCUAAAAAUAUAUUUUUAUUCAUAAAAUUAAAUUAAAAAUUAUAUAAAAAUAUCAUAUAAAUAUGUUUCUUUAGAUUAUUUUAUAUUUUUUAACUAUUCAAAUAUACAUAUUUACCAAACAUAUAUGAUUUAAUAAGUUGACUAAAUAAGUUUGAGCUACUGACUAAUUUUUCAUCCUCUAACUAACUUUUGAGAAUUAGUUUUAUCAAACAUAAGAAAAAUCUUAUCAACUUGCAAGCUUGAAGUUUUAACACAACCUUAUAUUGAAUAGCUAAACAUUUAAUUUAUAAAAGCUUAGUUCGUGUUAAGAACCUUUUGGAAAAUAAAGAUUAUUAAAAAAUAAGCAAAUGUUGUCCAAUGAAUCAAUUAUCUAGAUGGGAAAACCAAACAAAAAAUAUACUGAUAAAAUAGUAUACCAAAAUCAUAUUUUUAAUGUAAAAUUUGAUAGAUAUAAUCUUCAUGAAAAGAACUUUCUUUCAAUUCAAAAGUAAAUUUUGAGAUAAAAUUAUUUAAUUGAAAAUUAUUAAAUAAUGUAAUAUUAAUUAAUACAUGUUACACUAGUGUCAUUUGAUUCUACCCUAUAUUAUACAUAGGAAAAGAGUAAAUCUUAAUCAUCUAAAUAAUUAUAGUCACAGUCAACAUUCGAACAUUAUUUCCACCACAUCUCAUUAUUUACGCUCCCUAUAUAUAUGAAAAUAAGCACAUUUAAUAUUUCUAAAAUGACAUAGAUGCUGAUUUCACUCAAAAGCAUCAUCGUACGGAGAACCGGGAGCAAAAAAUUAAUCAAGAUCAUAUCGCGUUCAAUAAUGCCAGAGUAAGUUCUAUUGUUCAGGGAAAUCUUUUGAUAAGUAGAUCCCUAUUUUUUAAUGAUUUCUCACGAUCCAAACAAUUGGCUGAACCGGUGAAAUCAUUUCAUAGAAGUUCAUUGAUAUUAAAUAUAUAUAUCAGAUGAUGUGAGGUUCCGUUACUUGAUCUUUAGCAGUUUGAGCUUUCAAUAUCUUUUGCAAGGCAUCGUGACAUCUGCAAGUCGAACAUUUGACCAGAAGUAGUAACUCAAGUAAGAACUUAUCAAGCAUUUCAAGUUUAGAAACGAGGAAAGGAUACGAUGGUAAUUUGCCAUACCUCCAAGGAAGAUGGUCAAGGAACAUGGAUGGUGAAACAAUAAUAUCUUUGAAGCUUUCUCUAUUUGCUAUGUAAGCUCUAUAACAUUUUCCCCUCUCUAGCAUUCUCCACGAUGUCUUAAGAUCAGUUUGAGGUCUUUUCUUCUCCAGUACAACAUGAAUUACAAAACCAGGCAGAUACAGCUCUGGGGGAUCAUCUGCGGAUGGAUUUUCAGAAUUCGGAACAGUAUCUAUAAACUGAGACACUGGAUCAUGAUUUGAAUGUGCAUCUAUAGCAAAUGGAUUUGUAAAUUCGGCAUUGUCAAUUUCAAUGAUAUGAUCCCUUGCCCUAGUGUCAGACCAAAGUGAACAUUGUUCAUGCUCAUUAUUGAGGCAAUCUUCACUUCCAAAAGGAUUCAUAUAUUCACCAUAGUCAGCAGUAACAAGAUCCUUUCUAAUAGCCUGAACCUCUUGUUCGAUGCUACCUGCUGCAAUGAUGGAAGAACACACGAUUUCCAUCACUCAUAAUAGUGGUAAAAAUAUGUAUUCCCUACUAUGUUAUUAAAGAUGAGAAACCUUUAUUAUCAGUCUCACACUGGCUUCUGCGGAUCUGAUGGUUUAGAUCUUCCUGGAUGGCCCCUGAAUGAUACUCAGAUUCAUCCUCUGCCUUGGACUUAUUUCUCUGAUAUUUGCUUACAUCUAGAAACCUAUGGGCAAGUUUGAAAAUCAUGGCACUAUCUGCUUUAGGAUCUUGCGAUAGUGAUGUGAUUGCAGCUGCCCUUAGCCGCAUAAUGGAUCCAAUUGAAAGGCGUGAUGAAAAUUCAUUUCCAAAUAUAAUGCUGCAUCAAUGAAAGCAAGCAGAAACUGAAAAUGUUACCAAAGAGAAUCAGCUAUAAUCAAACUUUUUACUAGUACAAUUACCUUGUAACAAAUUCUGAACAUGCAUUUGCCACAACUAAAUCCAGACAUGGGAGUGGCCCAUAUGAGUAAACAUGCAGAUUAGGGUAGCGGUUAUAAAGCUGUGGAAAAGCUCAGCAAUUUAUUUAAAAAUCAAAUCAAAUGCUUAAAAGACUGCAGCAUGAAAGAACGAAAAAAAAAAACAUGAAAAUGGACGAAAAGUUCUUUUUAAGUGCUGAAUAAAUGUUCAAAACUUGAAGGAAAUGUUUGCAGAUGAAUUUAUUAAAUAAUCUCUCGUUUAUGAUUUUUUUUAGCCCUUCAAUCAUUUUCAAUGCUUAAUUGAGUUUUUAAACAGCCCCUUAAUCUGAUCUAACUUGAGUACUACUUAAAAUAUGCUAACAAAAAUCUUAGGAAGUGCAAGGUACUAAGGGAUCCUUCAAUCCAAGUACAACAAAGCCUUAUCCCACAUGGAUCAUGCAACACCAUUCAUCAUGGUUAAAAACCUAAGUUUCAGGAAUAUUAUUUAGCCUGACAUCUCCUUUGACAAUUUCCACCAAUGUCCUUUCGGUCUCUCUCUCCUUCAAUCCAAUGUUGUUAAUGGCGGAUGGCGGUUCAUGGCGGAAAGUAAAAAAUCCGCCAUAAAAAUAUGGCGGAUGGCGUAGCGGAAAAUGGCGGAUGUCAUGGCGGACACAAAAAAAAAAAAAAACAUAUAUAUAAACUCAUUGAAAUUGAAAAAAACAAAGGAUUGCAUUCAAAUAAACUAAAAAAGUUUCAUGAGUUCAUACAAUAAUCAAGUACCAACACCAAAUAAACUCAUUAAAGAGUUCAAAAAAGUUGUAGACAGAAAAAUGGGGGGUGUCAAAUAGCAAAAGGAAAAAAAAAGUUGUAGACAGAAAAAUGGGGGGUGUCAAAUAGCAAAAGGAAAAAAAAAAAGCUGUAGACAGAAAAAUGGGGGGUGUCAAACAGCAAAAAGCCCCAAAAAAAAAAAAGAAACAGAUCAGCUGACCCGCGUCUUCUUCCUUCCUCUUCUUCGUCUUCUUCAAACGCGAGACAGAAAAAUGGGGGGUGUCGCGCGUUGCCGGGGCUCGUCGACGGAGGUCGUCGGCGCCGUUCGUGCGUUGCGGGCCUCGUCGCGGCGGCGGCUGGGUGCGGCGGGGAGGGGGUGGUGUCGCGGCGGCGGCUGGGAGCGGCGGGGUUCGGGAGGGACGCAGGCAGGUUCGGGAGGGAAUGGAAGCUGUUGGAGGGACGGCUAGGUGUUCUGAACGCAAGCUGUGGAGGGUUUUUAAUUUAAUGAAUAACCGGGUAGGGUUGGGUCGGGUCGGCCCAACUCCUACCGCGGACAAAAGCCGAAGAUUUCCGCCAUUUCCGCCAUUUCCGCCAUCCCGCCACGACCGCCAUGGCUAUGGCGGCCGCCAUGGCGCCGCCAUCCCAAACCCGCCACGCCACCGCUAUUCGGUGGCGUUUUUUCGCAAACCCGCCAUGGAAAACCGCCAUGGCGCCGCCAUGGCCGCCAUUUAACAACACUGCUUCAAUCCAAACGCACCACUAAUUAAAUUGCAUAUGUUAACCAAAAAUUGAAUUAAGACAAAAUCUUCUAUCCAAUUUCCUUUAUUAAUUUUUGGACAAAAAUACAUGAGUUGAGACAAAAGGAAUGCUUUGUUUUCUUUUACAUACUCACGAGGUUAAUUAGCUUGUAAGUUCUACCUGAUUUAUAGCUUUCACCUUAGAUUUUUGGCUAAGAAAUUAAAAACCCAAUACAAUUGGGAUGUAUAUAUUUCCAACAUUGCACAUAUAUUUUGUUGAGUCCAAUCUCUCCGAUGGGUACUGGUUUUAGUUUUAAUGAUAGCAAUCAAUAUUUUGUAAAGGCCACAAUUCAAUCCACUUCUUGUGACCUCAAGCCAGCUUCAUAUUUGCAUCUACAAUCUGAAUUUUCUAAGGAAGCAAGGAAUAUUUUUUGUGUGUGUAUAUAUGUAUAUUUUUCAGAAUAGCCUUUCAAUGAAUACCUAGUUCUUGAUGCAAUCAAAAUAGCAAAUCAUGUUUACUAACGAAGAUAGAUCAGUAACUAAAUAAUCCUAUUUAAGUGAGAAAUGUCAUACUUGCAGUCCAAGCAAUGCAGCUAUAGCACCCCCAAGUGAAUGCCCAACUAUGCGGACAUUAUACCCAAAGCAUUCACAACCAAAUCCCAGUAAUUUAGAAAGAAGUCCAUAGGAUUCCGAGUCUGCAUUUCCACUUCGAAAAACAAUUGUUGUCAAAAAUGAAGUUUAUGUAAUGAAGUCAAAUGUUUUUAAAUUAAAUACAAUUUAAGAUUUAUUUUGGGAAUUGAUAAAAAGUAAGAUGGUUUACUUAAUUAUAUAACCAAUCAAUGGUGACUAUUUCACUUCACAGUAACCAAAGUGUUUAUCAUAGAAAGCAGGAAAGAGGAAGAAGAAACAGUUUGAUAGGACCAACUCUACAGAAGAAAGAACCAUCACUAUAAAAAAACUGAAGUAUUUCUUACCAGGCCCUUCAGGAUUUCCUUCAAUCUGCAUAAAAAGCUCUCGUGCAGCCUCAACUAUGCCUGAAUGCCCAUAGUGGGGGAAUGAUGAAGUCACAUUUUUCUUUAUAUUAGAAUGAAUGUAGUUGCAACUGCAAACCAGAACAUAAAAUAUUGACGCGAGGAACCAGAAUAUUGUGUUGGAACAUAUAAAGGAGCAAUACAGUUUGGUUCAUAUAAAUAAUUACACAUUGAACUGAAACUGUAAGAUAUAUAGAAGAGAUGCUUUCUGCAGAUAUACAUAACUCAAUAGGAACGUCAUUACUUAUUAUCCUUUGUUUAAAAACAUAGUUGAUAAUCAUGCAGCAUAAAAUGUCAUAAUUCAACUUCCAGGUUAUGUAUGUGACAGUGACCACUUCACAGAGUCAUUUGAAAACUGAUCUGACUACAAUACCAGAGAAUAUGCAGUUAUGCUAAAAUUUAGAAGUUCAAAUUGUAACAUAACAUAUUGAGAAUCGUUUAGUGCUUUGUGUAUUUUUCAAUCAGACUCAGAACAGUGUACUUGAACAGAUACAAAUAUUGUCCUCCAGUAUUCUCCUGUUCAAUAGUCUUGUAAUUUGUGAUGUUAGCAAGGUUGUCAAACUCGAGAGUCUAUAUAGACUUGUGAGAGCUUGGUAUAGUCGAAUCGUAAAUUUGUAAAAGUAUACUUCAUAUAAACAAUAAAAUAUGUAUAAAAAAUGAAGCUAUAUGCAACCAAGCCUUAAAAGAAUAGGCUGUUAAGUUGAUGGAGAAGAGAGGAGUAUUUGAGUUGUAGUUUAUGUGAUUGAUAGUCUUCUUCAAAGGCAAGAAAUUUUACAGAACCCACAUGACACUACUAUGCAUGUGAGUUUUUAAAUAGCCUAAGGCAACCUGCUAGUCCAAAACCAAAACGCCACACCUGACCAGAUCUUCCUAUUAAGCCCAAAACCACAGUGCAGAGAUGUGACCCGAUCCACACAUGGCCCCAGGUACUUUUUUCUUCCAGAACUGAUACCCUAAACGCCGCCUUCUUUCCAUGACCCACCCACCAAAUUCAACCUCGUUGGUAACUGAUGAUGCAACACCCACGAUGCAAUGCAACACCCAAGAUGCAAUGCAAACCAGUGACAUGGAAGGGCAGCCUUUGUUUCUGGAUCAAGACGCAAAAUGGAAUGAGGAUUUGUUGGACCCAAAACACACAAAAACACCAAAACAUGUGUUUUGGGUUAAUUUUUUUUAUCCAGAAAACUUGCUGACUCGGUCUUAAACUUGCGAGUAAGCACGAGUUUGCCCCAAGUCUGCCAAAAAAUGAGUUAACUCGCACUGUGCAUGUGGACUCGUAUACUCAGAUGAGUUAACAAGUUAACUCAGUUUGAUACCCAUGGAUGUUAGUAUAAAUGCAACAAUCACAAAAUUCCAACACAAUUUUGCAUUCCUACUCAGUGGGUUUUCUCUCUUUCUCACUCAUUCUCCACACUUACUAUUCCUAUAAAAUAAUAGAAUAUUCAACCAUCAAUUGACAUUAUCUAUUACAACUCCAAUCUAAAAUAGCUCAAGGCUUGGAAUAAUCCUAGCAUCCCUAUACAUGCACUGUUCAACAACACGGAACAUUUGACAACAAAGUGAUCAUUUUACAAUCAUAGAUACCAAGAACAAGAUCCAAAUAUCGAUGUGGAAAAACUGAUGUUAAUAACAAAAUUGAAAGCAAUAGUGAUUGGAUUCUAUCAUCCCUCUCAGCUUUUCUAGGGAAAUCUCGCAUGUAUAUUCAAUGUAUGUGUUACGAGCUGUAGGUAUUACUAUCUAUUACAAUGUUUACAACUUGUGUGAAUUUUAUAAUUGAAAUAAUUGGGAAUUCUGGGCAACUUUUUGCCACCUCCACCUUAGAGUUAUCUAUCUGUUAGUCAAAGUAAUCAAAGGGAUGAGCUGUAGGUAUUAGUAGAUUACAAUGUUUACAACUCGUGUGAAUUUUAAAAAUAAAUUAAUUGGGAAUUCUUAGUAACUUUUCACCUCCACCCUAGAGUUAUCUAUCUGUAUGUGAAAGUCGUUAAAGGGAUGAAAAGAGGAAGAAUGAAAAAUACUUUAUCAAACCAGCCAGGUCAUCCACAGACAGGGUGCAUUCCUUGCAUAACCCAUCAGUUAUUAGGUCCUCUGGGGUUUCAGUUCCACGUAUAGCAAUUACCACAGAUUGAAGUUGAUGUAGAACCACAAUAAAAUAUGCAGCUUCACACUUGACCUGGAAUGGGUAUCAAAAAGAACUUUAUAAAUAAUUAAAUAUAAAUUAAGCCAGUAUAAUAUAAAAACAGAAUAUUCAUGAUAUCAUACAUAAAUUAAGUUUAUUAUCCUCUUAAGUUGGAUAGAACUGAGUUUCCCCACAUUUUAAAAUUAAAAAAUUAUGAUCAUUUGGAAUCAAAAUACCAGGACAUAUAUGGUUAUAUACAGAUUAGUCCAAAUGUAAAAAAGGUGGCAGACAGUCAAUUUGCAUGAUAUGGGAAAGUAGCCCCCUGAACAAACCAAAAUAUAGACAAGUUUAUAAAUAUUUCUAUCCUUACCAGUUCAUUUGUUAUGUUCAUAUUUAUCAAAUUAGUAUAUUAAAAAAUAAAAAUCCACUUUUCAAAGAAACAGUGAAUUCUAUAGAUGAGGUAUCACAAGCCUAAUGAGCAAGCUUUUCUUAAAUUAAGAUUGCAAAAGAAGAUGAAGUCUGCUCUGAAAAGCCACACUCAAACAUAUUUAUUUUACAAACUUAGAGAGAUUAGAGGAGCAAUCAUUUUCUCAUAAACUAUUUACUAGAUAUUUAGAUGUAAGAAAGAUAAAUUACAAAAAAUAAAAACAUAUACUAUAUCCUGCUUAGCACACGCACACAAAAGAGCACGCUGGCUUCAAUAUCUAUUAAGGGAAACAGCCUUACAAGUUACAAAGAGCAUGGGCUAAAUACCAAAUAGAAGCCAUAAUUUGCUCAACCCCAAUGUCUUCCCUUCCUUGAUUUUAACAAAAAAAAAAAAAAAAAACUUAAGGCUAAACAAAAGAAUCAUACUAUUGCUGGUUAGUGACAUCUUCCUUUUGUUUAUUAUGAGUGUAGUUUGUUAUUGAUGACAUGCUCCCUUCAAUAAAAUUUAAACAUAAAUGGUGGCAACAUCUUUUUAGUCCUCCAAAUUCAAAGUUGUUUUUUUAGUCCUUGAAAUCCUCAAAAUACUAUUUUUAGUCCUUCUGCACAGCACGAGUCAAACAUGGAAUAAAAAAUUCGCAAUUUGUGACAAUUUUUUACCCCCAAAAUCUAAUUUUCUAUUUUAUAUUUUAAAGUACACUUCUGGUGGUUAAAAACUAUCAUAAUCAAGUCAGUAACCCCUCUUCAUUUGUGUGAAACUUAGUGAGCUUUUAUACAGCAUUUUAUUAUUUUGCAUUUUUGUAUGGUAAACCUGUGUCUCCUAUGACCAAAGCAUUGUAGAGAACAUUUGGAUAUUUAAAUUUUCUAACCUGGCUGACUCGCCCAUGUCUAAGCGCUUCUGGAGGCAAAUUGACGUACUUUAGAAAGGCUGCAGCAUGACCUCGCCACCAGUUAUCACCAUCCAGUACAGGUCGUCUAAGAAGAUGUGAAAUAGGAACAUAAAUCAUAUUGUGCAUAGAUUUACUAAACCAAAAUAGUACAAAAUAAUAAGUUUUCUUUUCUUAAGAUGAAAGAAAUAUCAACACAGAGAAGAAAAAAGUUACAAAGAUGGGGGAAAGUCCAAAAGUAUCAUUUUAGAGACACUGACUGGAAAGGAAAAAGUGGAGGAUCAAUCAAACCAGAGACAGUAGAGCCCUCCAAGCAUGUAGCAUAUCUUGAAUAAGCAAUAUACAAAUUGGAGUUUAUAGAUCAUUUCAAAGUUAACAAGUAUCAAGACCUCCUUGACCACAAAGGUGUAAUUAAUAUUCAACCAAAUAACACGCAAAUUAAAAGGUUCAGGCCACUGAGAAAGUGAGAAUUCAAUUAAACAGGCCAUAAAAUUGAAUAUCCAACAAAAUGCCACCUGUUUCGUGUCCAAGGAGACAAAAUCCCUUGUCUAUACAGCCAUGCACAAGGAAAUACAAAUGGAUUUCGUCCAACAUCAAGCAAUGGACCCUGCAUCAUUGAAUGCAAGAUAAAUGGUCAAAGCAAGUUAGUAAAAACAAAACAUUAAUUUGGAAUAAGUUUAUGAUAGUAAUACCGUGUACGCAGCUUCAGCAAAUUUAUGAAGAGCUUCAGCCUCCCUAAUUUUCAUCUCUGGUGCUUCCAUGGAUUCUUCAUAGGAUUCGGUAGAGUUUCCAUGGCUUUGAAGUAAAGCUAAAGCUGAACACAAAAAAAUUCAAUGUCAUAAACUAGAAAGAGGUAACACGAAGGUGAAGUUGAAUUGGUUGAGGCCAUAUUCCUAACGGUGAGGUGAACAGUAUCGCAAUAAUAUGGUCCAAGUCAGAGAUGAGAAAUUUGAAGAAACCUGCCAAGAGUUCCAUAUGGCCGGUUCCGGAGGCGCGAUAAGCAACAAGAUCAGCUAAUAAUCGUGCAACUGAAUAGACUUCAUCUUCUUCGGAGGUAGUCCUGCGUUAGUGGAUUGAUUAAAUAAAGGGGCAGAGGUGAGAGUGAGGUGAGGUGAGGUGAGGUGAGGAGAGGUGGUAUACAAGUAUUGGAGGCGGCCUAGACAACACAAGGUCUCACGAAUGCCAUGAUCGAAGACCUCGCUGUAGUGGCAUUUCCAAGCGUGAUCAUGAGUUUCAUAGAAAGACCUCCAUUUGAUAAUAUCUGAUCCGGUGAAGCACUGGAGAACGGCAACGGAAGAGACGAGGAUGAUGAAUAUAGAUACGGGCGUGUGGUUCCAUUUGGAUUCUGCAAUGGUAGAGAAAGAUUGAUUGAAAGAAUAAAAGUAUUAAUGAGAGUUGCAAAAGUGAGGUAGGUGGCGUACCUAAAAGACAGUGGUGAUUAGAAUGAGAGGUGGAGAAAUGGUGGGAAGAGGUGAGGACAAGGUAAGCAGCAGAGAGAAAUUGAAGCACGAUGAGGACAGCGGAACAUCGACUCAAGCAGAGCCAUUUCUUAUACAUGGCCUGACGAAGGAAUGAGAAUUGAAUGAAAAAAGGAAAUGUAAGAAGAGGCAUAAAGAAAGUCCCUUACCCUUCGGCGGAGGCGUAUAAGGAGAUCGGAGGAGGAGUGUUGAAGGAUGAGGGUGGCAGCGGCUUGUUGGGCGGAAGCGGUAAGAAUCAUGAGCAGAACCCUAAGCAAAGCGGCGAAGGAAACCAGGACGAAGGGAAGCAAGAAGGAGGCAUGACAGAGGCGGAAAGUGAGCAAGAUGAGGAAGGCGCCCAUGAGGGCAACCCCGACGUUCCAAAGUCCUACAAGCAAGCUCAUCCAUCUCACCCUUCUCAUACUCAUCAUUAUCACCAAUUUCACAUUCUUCACUCCCACUCAUUCUUCUAUUCACAAUGCAAAUGUUUACAUUUUUUAUAUAUCAAAAAUAUGAUUUCGCAUAUUUUUAUUGGAUUGAGAUGACUCUCAUUUCUUUUCUUUUCUAUUUAUUUGCAUUUAUUUAUUCCACACAUUAGUCAUAUGAACACCGGUACAUGCAUCAUUCAAUUUCUUAAACCAUUAGUGCAACUUUCAAUUGUGUUUGAUUUAGAAUAGGGAAACAAAAUAUUAUUUUAAUUAAAGUAAAGUGUAAAAAUUAUAAAUUUUAUAUGAGACUCACAAGUUUUUCUCUUUAAAAAUUAAUAAAUAUUUUUAUUCAUGUAUUUAUUUUAUUUUAUUUUUUGGUCAGAGCAACUUGAAUAUUUUUUCGUCAUGUAUUUAUUUUAUUCAUGUAAAAAUUAAUAAAUAUUUUUUCGUCCUUGUGGGCAACUUGAAUAUUUUUUUUGAAAGAUACUUCAGUGGAACAAUUCUCGUGACUUUUAAAAGUAAUUUUUUUUUCAUUUUUUAUAGCAUUACAUUUUAUUAUUUUAAAAAAAAUUUGACUUUUGUUUACUUUAUAAUUUUAAAGAGUGUCUUAAAUAGAUUUCACAAUUUAUCUCACACCUUUUUAUUUUAUUCUUCUUCUCUAUUUUGGUUAAAUAUGAUUUUAUGUUAACUUUAUUUACAUGGCAUAUUUGUACAAGAAAAUUGUUAAAUGAGGUUCAAAAUGAAAACAGAGAGAGUUUUUUUUUUUUUUUUCUAGAAACAAGAUAUUUCAUCACCAAAAGUCGUAAAAGUAACCCUUAAAAUGUAAAAAUCACCAAAAUAGGUUUUUUUUUCUCAUACACACAAUUCCUAUCAAUAUGAAAAAAAUUCAAUCAUCUACCAGUUAGGUUGGAUCUUGCUGGUAGAAAAGAAAUAGAGUUGUAAAUAGUAACCAAUGAUAUAUUUGAGCUGUUUUUCAACCAUAUAUAAUUAAUAUUACGAUUUCUCUUUGAAGUUAAUAUUCUGUUAGCAAUUCUGGUUAGAUAUGCCUCGAGAGUUAGUUUAUUUAAAUUAAAGUUUAAUAGAAUUAUUGUUACCUUAAUUAUAAAUAAUUUAAUGUGUGACUUUUGAGUUAAUUAUCACAACAAUAAUAAAUCUUUAGUCUUAUUAAAUGAUUGGUAUUUUAUAAAUAAUUUAAUUAAGUAAGAUAUAAUAAUGGAAAUUUGAUUACAUUUGAAAUAAAAAAAAAAUAAAGGAGUUUUAUUUUAUAUGUUGAAGACUAAAGAAAAUAAUGUUUAAUACUACCCUCACAAAUUACAUAUUCAAUAUAAAACACCCUCAUUUAAUAUAUAUUACGAGAGUAGUCAUGAAAUAGAUGAUAAUGAGUUGAUGGAGUAUGGUUGGAAGGUGAAAGUUGGGAAGGUGUCUAUGAGAAUGCAAAGGGGGGAAAAAAGGAAAAGAUACUUUGUAUGAAGAGAGGGAAAGAGAGAAAAAUAGAAGUAUAAUGGGUGAUAGAAGAAGAUUAAAAAAUAUGAGGCAAGGGGGAGGGGAAGGAAAAGAUUCUGGUUCUUGGUGAGUGGAGUAGUUUAGAAAAGGGAAACGGGGGGCGUGAUACCAUGAACGGGGUCAAGGUUGCCAAUUGUGAUAAAAGUGGCACGUGACCCAAACCCAAGUGGCACUGACUCAUCCCAUAAAAUAUCAUACAAGUGGCAUUGCAUCAACUUGCUCUUUUUAUUAUUUAGUAGUCCCAUUUGCACCACCACCACCACCACCACCCACUACUACUAACUCCAAUCUCCCUAUCCAUGUAUCCCUCUUCCUCUUCCUCCUCCUCCUCUUCCUCUCAGUCCAUGACCCAAGCUGGCCUCACUCGCUACGGUUCCGCCCCCGGUUCUCUUCUCACCAGCACGGUUGAUUCUCUUAUUGGUGGAUCCCGUCCCAGUCCCUACUUUUCCGGAGAGUCUUCUGAGUCUCCCUGCAAAGAGCAAAGAUCUUUCCACAACCACCCCCCCUCCUUCGCUUCCUCCUUGCUCCGCCAGAAAAGCUCUCCCGCCGGCUUCCUUUCCCAUCUCUCCAAUCACCAUGGUACCUUUCUUCCUUCCUUUUUUCUCCCCCCUCUUUCCUCUCUUCUAUUCUAUCCUCUUACCUUUUUCCUUUUUUAGGUGUGGGUUUCACCAUCACCCCCGGUGGUUUAUCAAAUUCAAAUUCAAAUUCAAAUUGUUCUCUCUUGAAGUCUCAACUCAGCUUCACCCACGAAUCUCUUUCCAACACUGUUAAUGUUGAUCCCUCCAGCACCACCUUCGGAAUGGAUCCCUGGGACAACAAUUCCAUCGCCUUUUCUGCAACUUCAACCAAGCGCUCCAAAACCAACACCAAUGAUCCUGACAUUUUACAUUCCCUGAAUUCGGCCUUGGAAUCACAGUUCAAUCUUCCACAUACAAGUCUGGAAAUGUCAACCGUGGACAAGCUAUUGCACAUUCCUGAAGAUUCUGUCCCUUGUAAAAUCCGUGCUAAGCGAGGUUGUGCUACUCAUCCCCGUAGCAUUGCCGAGCGGGAGAGAAGAACAAGGAUCAGUGGCAAGCUCAAGAAAUUACAGGACCUUGUACCCAAUAUGGAUAAGGUUUUUCUAUUUCUCCCUCCUUCUUAUGUCUCUCUCUCUCUCACUCUCUCACUCAUGUUCUUGUCUUUAAUUCUAUUGUAGCAAACAAGCUAUGCAGACAUGCUCGAUUUGGCCGUUCAACACAUUAAAGGUCUUCAAACUCAGGUUCAGGUCUGUAUAACUACUUAUUCCAUUCAUCCUCUACUACUAUUAAUUACAAGAAAGCUCGCUGUUGUUUGUAUAUACUCUAAUUUGCUCAUCACUCUCUAAAAUAUGAUUUUCUUGUUUAAUACAUUCAAUUAAGAUUGCCAUUUGUUACAUUGCAUCCCUGUUUUGGAUAGAGAGUGAUAUGUCGUUCAUCACCAAUUUCAUCACAUGUCUCCACCAAUUACAAGCUUUUACAACUUCUUUUUUCCCUUUAUCUAUUUCCUUCACAAGGGAAAUGAUACUCAUACACCAAGGUACAUAACAAUUCAUACUAACAAGCAGAUCCAAAUCCUUCCAAAUUAUAAAAAAUAAAAUUCGUGGAUUUAAAAUUAUAUAAAUAAAAUAAAAUAAAAUAUAAAAAUAUAAGAUUUUAUUUACAAAUUUGAUAAAUUUAAAAUAAUGAGGGGAUGCAAGUGUACACCCUCACAUGGCUGUAGGUCCGCCUCCUCUAACAAGAGGAAGAUGGAUAACUAGAUAAGAGAUGUGAUGCAGAGAGACACGACAGAGAAAAACUGAGUCUUUAAAAGAAAAAUGUUAUGUGGACACCCAUUGUGUUAUUUAACACCUAGAGAGAGGAAAAAAUAUAUCUAACUUGUUCUCUUACUCUUCAUUCCUCAAUUAUUUACGUCACUAAAACAUGUUAUGGUUAAGACCUUGACUCUAGUCCAGUUCUGUUCGUCAUCUGUAGUAUUAUAGUGAAUUUUACAUAUCUUCAAGGAUAAAAAUUACAGAGGAUCAAUCGAAGCAUCACUUAAUUUUCAUUACAUCCAUUAAUCUUGCCUACGAUUUUUUUUUAUUUUUUUUUUUUGCUUUGCCCUCUUUCAGAAGCUUCACAAAGAAAUGGAGAAUUGCACUUGCGGAUGCAAACAAAGCAAAUAACUUCUUUUUUUUACGAGAUUCUAUAGCAACGUGCAUAGAAGUCAAGGUUUUGAUGGCAAAGAUUGAAAACUGAUUUUGUACCGAUCUACUUAAAUGAAUAAUGAAGGAACUGAAACUUUGUAGGUUGUCAAUGCUACAAUUGUACAGUGUAUGUUGUAAUAUGGUAGUCUAGAAAAAUUUCUUCGUUUUCUUCAAGAAUUGGCUUUCAAAGUCCAGGUUGAUUUUCUAUUCAGAUUGUUUAUUUUCUUGUUUGGGUAAGUAUGGUACAAUGAAAGACUAAUUUUUGGAAUCAGAACCAGAAUAGAAGUGAGAAUGGGGUGAAUUGAAAUCUAUUUUGUUUUAUUUCAAUCUAUUUUUAUGUUCGGUGAAUUACUGUGGAAGCUUAUAACCAAUGAAAAUGUGUACAUUUUUGCCUGAAAAAAAAAAACGUGAUUGAGUUAAUUUCAUAUUGCUAGCAAUGACUAUUUUUGUCUCUGAUAAAAAGCUUCGAAUAAAAUUAUUACAUGGAUGCGUUUUUAAAGUUUUGAAAGGUAACAACUUCUGUGGAAUCUUUAUGUUUGUAAGUGGAAUUACAUGGAUGUGUUUUUAAAGAGUUAUAACUUAUGAAUGUAAAUUCUAUUUCUUUUAUAAAAUGAUUACAGUAUAUGUUAGGUACUAGGACAAAGGGAAGGCCUUGUAUUAUUCGAGAAGAAGGUAAAACUCCUAUUUUAAACUACUGAAAAUUAAGUGCAAAUUUCUCUUCUUCUCAUUUCCACUAGUGAUAGCUUAUUUAUAGAUGAGCACAUUUUGGAUAAUGGACCCACAUGGUCAGCUAGCACUACACAUCUAACAAACUAGCACUAAAAAGGUUACCAUGGAAAUGGAAAGGUGGAUAAGAGAUAAUAACAAACUGAUAUGCAAUAGUAACAGAAUGAUAUGCAGAGGAUAUUCUUCACUUAGUGGAUUCACAUGUAGUCACGUAGGUGAGUGACCCUCUUGGUUUUGUGGCCGGUGAGGUGUGCUGCAGCUAGUGUUGCUAACAGUAUACUUAUACUAGUUCCACUGGGUAUAUAUUAAAGUUGUUCUUUCUAUAUUCCUUCUUUAAAAACUUUCUGAAUCCAUUCAUGAUGGUACUAUCAUCAACUAUGCAAACAUGAAUGCAAUCAUUUUUGUGAAAAUGGAGGUGGAAUACACCUGAAUUAUAAAUCUUUGACAAUAACUUUAUUUCUUUAGGUAUGUUUUUAGUCCUUCAUAAAUUAAUGAAUUUUGUAUUUGAUCCCUUAUAAAAAAAAAUUAUUAUUAGUAAGGAUUAAAAUAAAAUUAGUUAAUUUAUUAGGAAAUAAACAUUAAAUUCUUUAAUUUAUUUGGGACUAAAACAAAAAUAUUAUUUUAUGAAAAACUCAAUACAAAACAAAAAAUUUCUUAAAGAAUAAAAAUAAAUAUUAAAUAUUUAUUAAAAAUAAAAGUAUAUUUAAUUAUUUAUUUUGAAUAUUAUGAUUACUGCUAGGCUAGCUGCCUAUUGUUCAAAAAACAUACAAGGGCAUUUUACAUGGUAAAAGGCAAUAAGUGUUAAAUGAUGAAGAUGACGAUUUUGGAAGAUACAUAUAUAAGGCAUGAUUAUAUAUAUAAAACUCAUUCAAAGAUGGUCUUCAAGGAGCUUUGUUUGGUCUUGCCCCCCAUGUUAUUUUGUUUCAUAUAUUUUGGCUCUCUGGUUGUGAUGGUGCCAACCUGCUCGUUGGAAUGGAACCUGAUACGGCAACAUACUAGGCUUCUCGGUAUCAUAACUAGCAAGAGAGCAACUCAGAAACAUAGAGAGUGAGGAAGAAGAAGUGUGUUUGAGUUGAGAUGUUAAUUUGAGUUUUUUUAUUUUAUACAUGUUAAUUUGAGUGUGUUUAAUCAAUUGAUAAUGAUGUUUUAGUGAUGUAUGCUGUAGUUUUGACCGUGUGAGCUAGUGUUUGAAAUAAUGAUGGCUUAGUGAUGGCUUUUCUAAUUAUCUUCGAUGACAUGACUAUUGUUUGAUUCAUCAAGUGAACUUUCAAGUUUGAAGUGGCGUACUCAAAAUAAAGUUGUUAAUUUAAUUAAUAUUAUAGUCUGUGGAUAUUGUAUAAAAUAAAAUUUUAUUUUAUAUAAUUAAAAUUUAUAAUUUGUAUUAAAUAAAUAUUUCUAUAUAUAUAAUAAAUAAUAUUUGUUAACAUAGUUGUGGUAUUUUUUUAAUUACUGAUAUAUAAUUUCUUUUAAAAAAUAUUCCCUUAGCAUUAAGGAUGUAGAAAAUGAUAGAUCAAAAUAAAUAAGAAAUUAAAUUAAAUUAUGAGAGAAAAAAUAUAUAUAUAUAAACAUUAAACUCUUAAAUUAUUUCAUUGAUAUUAAAAAAAUGAUAUAUUAUAUAGCUUGUUAAACUAUUCACUUUUUAAAAACAUCAUAUACCACAUGUAUGUUAUAUAUAUAUAUAUAUAUAUAUACGUGUAAAAAGACUAUCUGUUUUCUUAAGUUUUCACUCUCUCCACUCUUCCUCACAUUUACAAUUAGUUGAAUAGUUUAAUUAAUAAAAAGUAAUUUAAUUAAUGAUCAACAAUCCAAAGCGAUCCGGAUUAAGUAUCAAUUAUCUUCACAGGAAAAAGGACUAGAGGUUCUUGAAAAAUUUACAUAAAUGUAGCAUUAUUUUAAGUAAUUAAAAUCAUAUGAAAAAAAUAAGUUAAGAGCUAAUAAUAUAGCAAUGUUAUAUUAUUAUUUAAUUAUAAAUCAUUUAUGUAUAAUAAACUUGUUCACUUAUAUAAUAAUUAACUUUUUUAAAAACUAUGUCAACAAUAACUUUUUUAUUGAUUAAGCAUUUAAAAGUUAUAUAUGACUAUUAAACUCAAACAUAUAUCUAACUCAUAUUCUUAAAUCUUAUGUGAAAAACUAUGAAAAUAGAGUUAAAAGUGAAAUUGUAUCAGCAUAAAAAAAAUGAAAUUGUAUUGUGCCGUCAAAAGAUUUGUGGUCACUAUGGGAAUGAAAUUUGACAGGCAACGUAGGUAUCUAAACAUAGGUUAUACUCAUCGCCCCACCUAACUAAUUAUGGUGUAUUUAAUUUUACUUCACUAUGCUUCUUAAUUAUCUUAGAUCCUCUAUAAAAGAACCGCAAUUUUAGACAAGAGAACUUCAUAUACAUACCAUACGUAUUAGAAAUCGCAGACCUAAUAAAUUUUGGCCCCCCGUAGCUAUACACAAAGUAAGAACUUCAUCACGCAAAAUAACACACCUUGCCCAGUUAUUUCUGCUUGCUGUAAGCUCUCAAUUUACCCAAAUAACACAAGAUAAUAGUCGGCGUUCAGCUAAUUACCAGCCAAAUCUCUGGAAUUUUGAAUUAUUAGUUAGAAUAUAUUAAUUAACAAGCUAUGUUAUUGGUAUAAUUUAAAUCAAUUUUUAAUUAAAAUGUAUACGUUUACUUUUUAGUUAGAAUACCUUAGUAAAUUAUAAUAAUUAGUGUAUUAACUUUAAAAUAAUUGCUAAUUUGUUACCAUAUUUUAACUCAAAAAUAAAUUAUUGUACAUUAGCGCAUAUAUAUAUAUUCCAGUUUUCUUGUUUUUUAGUUUUAAGAGAUCAUUUAGUUUGGUAAUUUUUUAUUUUCACUUUUAAUUAUAUAUAAAAAAUGUUAUUUAUUCUUAUUUUUUUCCAUUUUCAAAAGUUUACAUAGAAACAGUUAAAAAAAUAUUUUUAUUAUUUUCCAUUUUCAUUAGUUUUUAUCAUUUUUUAUACAAACUUUUCUUUCAAAAAAAUAAUGUGACUUUUUAAUAAUUAAUUAAAAGUGAGCAUUCCUCAAAUCAAACGGUAUCUAUCUUCAUGUAAGUUCUUUCAAGAGAAAUUUUUAAAAAACAAAAAAAAAAAAUACCUUUCGCGUACAAUGAUAGAAAUAAAUAUGUAAAUCAUGAUUAUUUUUUUUUACAAAUAUGAAAAUAAAUAUUUAAAUUAAGAUUUGGAUGGCAAUUUUCACCUAGGAUAAACUUUAAGGUUAGGAUUUAUGAAAACUAUUUAAAUUCUCCACGGUUAAUUAAGAUGGCCUUAAUAAGUUAUAUUGUUCUUUUAUAAGAUAAUAUUGUUCUUAUUGCCUAAUCACAGGUGAAAAUGCUGGAAAAGAGAGCAUCAAAAUUGGAGGAGGAGGUUUGUGAGAUGAUCAACAGAGCAGAGAAAGAACCAUUAAGCUUAUUGGAAUUGAUCGACAAUGUCCAGCGUCUGGGAUUGACGUACAAGUUUGAGAAAGACAUAAUCAAAGCCCUUUAGAAGAUUGUUUCGUUGGAUGAAAAUGAUAAACUCGAAAGGGGGCUCCAUGCUACUGCUCUCCGCUUCCGUUUACUUAGACAACACGGCUUUGAGGUCUCCCAAGGUCCGUUUUUAUAUGUUACGAUGUCACCCACCUACAUAUGAUUUGCUAACAUGGUACAUGCAUGCAGAUGUGUUUGAGAGAUCUAAGGACAAGGAUGGUGAACUCAAAGGUGAUGUGCAAGGCUUCCUUGGUCUAUAUGAAGCAUCCUUUCUUGGCUUUGAGGGAGAAAAUCUGUUGGACGAGGCAAGUUAGUCAUGCACUAGAACUUCCAUAUCACUUUUGAUUGUAUAGAAUGGAAGCACGAUGGUACCUUGACAAAUAUGAGCCUACCAGUUGCUACUCGAACUUGCAAUGUUGGAUUUCAAUAUGGUGCAAUCAUUACACCAGAAAGAGCUGCGGGAACUGUCAAGGUUAUUUAAAAGUUUCAAUUCUUAAUUAAUUACCUCAUAAGAACUUUGUAUGGUGAUACCAGGGAGUCUGUUUACAACACACUCCUCAACCAAUUAAUUAAGCUAGGAGAGAGAUAGAAGAAGAUCAAUUAAUAUACACUUAGGUGUAGCCUAAUUGACUAAUUAAUGUAUGUUUUGUUAGAUGGGGCUGCCAAGCAAGCUGGAGUUUGUCCGAGACAGAUUAUUGAAGGUAUAUUUCUGGGCACCCGACCCUCAAUUCAGUGAAUGUCGUAAAGUUGUAACUAAAAUGUUCGGACUUGUCACCAUCAUCGAUGAUGUAUACGACACAUAUGGUUACAGAUGGGACGUGAAUUCUAUAAACACACUUCCAGACUACAUGAAGUUGUGCUUCUUAGCGCUCAAUAACACGACUUAUAGCAUCCUUAAAGAAAAGGGGCAUAACAAUCUUUCUUAAUUAUUUGACAAAAUCUGUACGUAGUUAUCUCCUUGGUUGAUUAAUUCGUUGAUAUAUGUGUCAUGUGUAAAUGCAAAUAAUUAAUAAGAUUAUAUGGUGACAUACACUAGUGGCGUGAUUUGUGCAAAGCAUUCCUCCAAGAAGCAAAAUGGUCAAACAAGAAAAUAUAAUUCCAGCAUUCAGUAAGUACCUAGAAAAUGCAUCUGAUACUCCUCCGGCGUGGCUUUACUUGCUCCUUCCUACUUCUCAGUGUGUCAACCUAAAGACAUCUCAGAUCAAUCUCUUCAUUCUUUAACUAACUUUCAUGGCCAGCUUGUGCGAUCCACGUGCGCAAUUUUUAGGCUUUGCAAUGAUCUGGCUACCUCUGUGGUACGUGUGUGUGUGUAUAUAUAUAUAUAUAUCAACAAAUGUUGGUUUUGUCAGAGGAACUCGAAUCUGUCUCUCUUAAUCAUCCAAUCCAGCUUAUAUCUUGGGCCCUUUGCUGUAAGUAUAUGUAAUUAAACUAAGUUGCUAGCUAGACCAGAGCAUUGAACACAUAUGCGUGGCAGACUGAGUUAGAGAGGGGUGAAACAACAAAUUCAAGAAAAUUACACAUGUUUUUUCAAUUUUCUUAAAACUUACAUAUGUAUCUUUUAAAGUUUAAGAGAAUUACAUAUAUUCCUUUUCAGUUUUUAAAACCUACACAAAUUUCUCUAGAUGUUGUCUAAAUAAAAAAAUAUUAAAAUAUAUUUUUCAUCCUCAUAAAUAUAGAAAUAUUUAGAAUUCAUCACUACAAAAAAAAUUAUUUACUUUUCAUACUUGCAAAAUUUAAAUUUGUUAUUUUUUGUUCAAAACUAUGUUUGGAUACAUCUGAAUCGACAUGUAUGUUGUAGAAAAUGUUAGGUUUUUCAAGUUUUUUAUAUUGCUUUUUUAGCCUUUUUUAUAAAUUAAAAUUGUAAACUAACAUGACUUGUACAAUCAAAUGCUUGUGUAGGUUUUAAAAACAAAUAAGAGGUAUGUGUAAUUUUUUUAAAUCUCAGGAAAAACAAAUGUAAUUUCCUCAAAAUCUCAAGAGAGACAUGUGUAUAUUUUUUAAAAGGAGGAAAGAUACAUGUAAUUUUGUAAUGGGCUUUAGGUUAGGCCCAAGGAAGCUGGUAUGUAUUUUGUAAGGGCAAGAGUCGAGAGAAGAAGAAUGGCGACUGAGAAUGAGAAGAGAAAGCGGAAAGAAAGUAGUGAUGUUAGAAGCAAAAAGAAGAAGAAGCAGAGAAGCGAAGAUGAAGAGGCGACGAAGCAGUUGCGUUUCUUUGAGUCGGCGAUGGGUAUUGAGCUUUCUUCGCUGGAGUUGGAAUCCCUCAAAGAUAAUAAGUGCAUUUUGGAGGUAUCAGAAGCCGCUGAUUCAGACGUGACAGUAUUGGGCAAAACUAUUAGGGCAGCGUUUGGCGCGUCUUGGAAAGAGGCUCUCUGCGAAGGGAAGCCUGUAGAGGGAAAAGUCAUUGCUGGAAGCCCCGCAGUUCUUAUCAUAACUUCUUCUGCUUUAAGAUGCAUAGAUCUCUUAAGGUUCUCAUCUCUCUAAUUCUACUCUACAAGCACUGUAUUUCUUUAACCGAAACCCUAAUUUUAUUUACCGCUGCAGAGGCUUUCGCUCUAUGACUGAACAAUGCCAUGCUGCAAAGUUAUUCUCAAAGCAUAUGAAGCUUGAGGAGCAGGUACAUUAAUUAAUUACCUACGGAUCAAUUCCCUUCAUUUCUUAGCAAUUUGAAAUUCAAGUAAAUGUGUUGAUUGUGAUUUAGGUCAAACAUCUUUGUACACGAGAAACAAGUUAAUGUGUCUUAUUUUCAAUUCUAGUUCUAAUACAUUCCUCUUGUUAAUUCCUCCUUAUGCAAAUUCCUAUGGUCCCGUCCGGUUGUGAAACAAGAGAAAAAUUUGUAGGCACAAGGCUGAGAGCUCACACAUUUUAACUUUUAAGAUUAAAAAUUUCAAAAUAUUAUUAUCAUCCAAUAAAGCAAGUUUAAUUUCCAUACGUACAUAGGAGCUGUGAUUUUUAAAGUUUCAAUUCCCUUUAUCCUUGAACCCUGAAAGAAUUUAAAUAAAUAAAUAUGUUGUUCUUCAUGAAACGUUGUCCUUUAUGAUUAAUGCAGAUUUCUUUGUUAAAAAACCGUGUUAACAUUGCUAGCGGCACACCAAGCAGGUUGGUUGGUUGGUCAUCCCAUAUCCUUUUACUUACUAACCAUAUACUUUUUUUUAAAUAUUGUCGUAUAUCAAACUUUCAUUUCAGGAUAAAGAAGCUAAUUGAUGCUGAGGCGUUAGACCUUUCAAGGUUGCAAGUACUUGUGCUUGAUCUGCAUCCUGAUGUAAAGGGCUAUUCCUUGUUGACCCUUCCACAAGUCAGGUUUGCUCUUCUUCGCAAGCAAUUCAAUCUCGUCGUCUCUCUUCUAUGAUUUUGCAUAAAUUUAUUAACGUUACUACUGACUGGCAGAGAUGAAUUCUGGGACCUUUUCAAGAAUUAUUUCUAUCAACCGAUGCUUCAGGGUCAUCUGCGUAUUUGUCUCUAUGGUUACCAGGUCUCUGUUCGUUUAAAGGCCAAACAUAAACAUAAACAAGGACAUACAAUUCCCGAUGCAUAAAUCCUCCAUCUUUUGAUUUAGGCAUGUAUUUUUUAAAUAUUAUUUUAUUAAGAUUUCAUUUCAUUUGCCUUUGACAGUCAUGUGUUUAAGCAUGUGUUUGACAGUCAAACGUUGUCAUGCAAGGGUCAGAUUAGUCAGUCAUGUGUUUAAGCAUGUACUUUCAUCUUUCGAGUUUGAACCGAAUACUCCUUCAUAUCAUUCACUUCUUGAAUUUACUAUUUCUUUAACUCAAUUAGAAAGAGUCAAAAUCUUAAUGUCAGUUCUUCGAAUCAAAAUGUCUAGAGAUUUACUUAAAUAAAUGAGAGGGCUAUAUCAUUCGCAACCAUUGGUAUAGAUAAAACCAUACCUGGAGGAUCUAAUAUCAGAUUAUGCUGUAGUUUAUGGAUCGAAGGUUAACCCUAUCAAAUGUUUAUGCUAUCAAUAACUAAACUAUUUUUCUCAAGUACAAAUAUAGCGGCGGAAAUCCAAUUAGUGAUUUUUUUUCGAGUCACAGCACAAGAUGUUGACAGCUAAAAAAUCAAGUGUGAGUCGUCUGCCUCAUCCACUUGGUAGCUGACCACUUCUCCCCAGAGAUCACCUCACAUCCUCCAUGCACACUAUUCGGAUCUGACUGUCCAUCCAGUCCCUGACAAGACAAGUAGAUAAUUUUCCAUCGUAAAUUUUCCAUCCAGCUAAAAAAUCCAUAGCACAAACAAUUACAGACUCUCCAUGAUUUAAUACUCUUGAGCAUUGACAUUUUCUAUCACAAGAAUAGUAGGGCUGCCCUAUUGCUAAAUCAGCUAAAGCCUGAUGAGUAUAAAUUGAAACAAGAAUAGAGGGGAGGAAUUAUAAGAUCAUCUCCGUAUAUGAUUCUAAAACAGAUUCUUCCUAUUUAGCACCGGUUCUUAACAAAAGACCGGUUCUUAACAAAAGAUGAAAUGGUUGGGGAAAGAUCUCAUCAAGCACCGGGUGCUUGUAUGUGUGUGGGGUCAAAUGCUACAAAACAAAAACCCAAAAAAGAAAAAAAAAUAUUAAUAAAAUGUUUGGAUCUGUUAUGAGAUCUCAGACAUACUUUUGGAACCCAAACUCAGUUUUGUAUCAUGUUUGGAGUUCCCCAAAAUUAAUUUUGUAACCUGUUUAUGGCAAACUUGGGUUUAGAUCAAAAGCAACAAAUGUUUUAAAGUAAAAGUACUUUUGAUUUGUAUAUUUACUUUAAAAACAUGAAGUAAAAUUACUUUUUUUUGUAACCAUUGUAAUUAGGACCUUUGAUUCUUCAGUGGGAUCUCAAGGUAUUCUCACAAGUUUCAUCCCUUUGGGUCAAUUGUUGGAUUAAUCUUUGGUCCAAAGUUUAGUCACACUUAAAGUUUUUCGCCCCUUCCCAAGAGUAUAUUUUGUGGGAAUCGAACUCAGAUCCUUCCCACAAACUCGACGUGUGUUGUCAACUGAGUUACAUCCCAUUGAAUAAGUAGAAGUACUUUGAUUGGUAUUAUUUAAACAAAUUUCAUUUAUCAACAUACUUUUGGAACAAAAAAUCUCCAAAUAUAAAUCAAACUAUAGAAAACUCAUUUUUAUCAAACUUAAGUUUACAACAUACUUUUGAAUCAAAUUUAUGUUUGCAACCUUUAACCCAUGCAUGCACUGAGAUGUAUAAAACUUAAAAACUCACAUUAUAAGAUAGUAUCAGAGCCUAUCUUAAAUUCAUUAACGGGCUACCCAUCAUAUUAUCCACACACCAAGCCCAAAAGAGUUAAGUGUGAGGAGGUGUAUUGGAAAAAACUCAAGUCUCACAUCGACUAAAGAUAAUGCAAAGAUAGAAUGUAUAAGUGGGAAGAUAAAGCAAACAGCAGUUGAAAAAAAGGCUCUCUUGAUUUAAGAAUGAUUCCAUACAGUUUCAAACAAACUCCCAUCCUGUGAUUUGAGAAAUAGGUCAGUUCAACAGAUUUUAAGUUCCAAAUUAAUAUGAGAUGAGCCUGUAUUUUAUUUUAUUUUAUUUGUAAGGGAUUCGUUGGCCUGUUGAUGCUGAAAUUGAUAACUCCAAGAAAUUAGAGUUAUUUAAGCCUUAUUUUGUAAAUAAUUGUCUUACUUUCUCCUUAUAAUCAUUAGGUGUCCGUGGAUAAUGUCCAUAAUAAGCAAACUAAUUACACUAACCAUACUCCAGAAAAGCACUGCAUUUCCUUUAAUUGGUUUCACAGAUAGCCCUUUGACAAGUUUCCCACCACAGCUACAUUCACCUGAACCAGCCUGAAUCAUAUUGUAUAUCACUAACAGCAGCAUCAGUACGGUCAAAAUGUCCAACUAGAAUGACAGAGAACAGGUUAGCACAUAUAUAGAUAACUAUUACUAGCAUUUUACAAAUUGAGCAUAUUUCUCAUGGUAAAGGUAAAAUCCAAUUAUCCAAAUAGAAUCAAUAUAUACCGUAAUUCAGGAAAAGACAAUAAGGCAUAAGAUUGACAAAACUAGUUUAACCAGUAAACAUAAUGACGGGCAUCAUAAUAAUUUGGCAUUCCCUUUCAAAGCCUGUCAGAACACAUAUAAAUUAAAAUCUAACUAAUUAUCAAUGAGAGGAAUGCAGAAUAAGAUUUGAAUAAAGCUGGGGGACAUACAAGAUACAGCAGAAUAUUUUGAUACUUCAAGGAACUAACAGAGGAAGUGAAAACCAAAAGACCCAUAUAUUUUGUUGGUCAUUAAACAAAACACACUCUUUUCUCAGUUAGAACCUAAACCUACGGCCCAGACACAAAUCCAGCAUCAGCUUGGCAUCUAAUAUUUGCUUGAGUCAGACUAUUCAUAUGCUGCUUCAUAUGUAUACAGCAACAACCAAAAUAUGUUAAAUGACAUAUUUCAGAAAACAAGAAGCUUACCAAUGGGAAAUAUGUUUCUCCUCCUUCAAUAUUGUCACUUAAAUACAUAAGCAUUGUGGCUAUUCGCUGCCCACCACGCUUCAAGUUGAACUGUCUCAAAAAAGAAAGGCACAAAAGGUUAUAGAUGGGAUUUCAUUGAAGCCACUCUAAGGAAAUUCUUAUGUUGGCUAUAAUUUGAAAAUUAAGAAAAAUACAACUUACAGUAUCAGAAAAAUAGUCAUGAUGGGGUUUGUAAUAUUGAUUCUUCUCGUACCUGUGCUGCUGCAGAUGUUAGUCUUGAUACUAGUAAAACCCAUCUUGUUCAGAUAUAGCAUGAAAAAAUAAGUCAUAUUCUCACCUCAGGACUUGCAUAAGCUCUCCAUUUUCAAUUGGUAUUUGGGAAUAGACAGAAAUUCUUUUUUCAAUUGCCUAGUUGAGCAACGUGAACAUAUUUUAUCAGACUGUACAAUUAAUGUUAUUCAAUAAAAUGUGGAUUUGUACAAAAAUAAAUAAAUAUAAGGUUUUCAAGGAAUCUAAAAUUUGUAUAUAAUGAUGAAAAAAAGUAAAUAGUAUUAUACAUAUGCAGAAAUCAAAUUUAUGAUUAACUAGUGCAGCUUCAUGCUUAGCACUUGCAGGUUCUUUCUAAGGAACUACAAUAAAUACCAAACCAGUUCAUAUGUUUAAAACUGAAUCUAAACUGGUUCACUGAAAUCCAGACCAGUUCUGAACUGAUUCACUGAAAUCCAAACUAGUUCGGUUCUGGAAACUGCAUCUUAUUAGCAGUUUGGUUUGGUUCAGUUUUUCAUAGGGAACCAAAUCAUGCCCACCCUUAAUUUAAACGGUGGAAAUGUUUCCAAUUUUUUGAUGAUCAGAUUUAUGAAUCUGGGGAGCAAAAUAACUCAUUGUGAUUGUGAUGUAACCAAAACCAAGGAGUGAGUCACUAAUCCCUAAAGGACCAUAGGGGUGGCACAAUGUUCCAACUUUCAAAAACCAAACAGGUCAGUGAUCACUAAUAACCACCCAACAAGGAUUCUUAUUGAACCAGCUAGUUCCAUGCAAAAGUGUUGUUUUUAGUGUGUAUCAGACUACAGAAAACUGUUUCAAUUUAAUGGUUACACCAGAUGGUGCAGUCCAUGCUUUUUACACUGAUUUAAUGACUUAAGUAAGACUUGAGGGGAAAGUAAAAUUGUUAACUUACUUGUACCAUAGGAUAUUUUCUCUCUUGAGGAUUCAAAAACAUACCAGAGCUAGUCCUGACAUCACUCUUGAUUCCCUGCACAAGAUAGAGAUAUCACGUUUCAUGAAGAAACACAUGUUCAUAGAUGCCAAUGACCCUAUAUACUACUACUGCACUAUAUGUCCACAUUUGUUUUGAUAUGGAUUUUCUUUAUGUAGUGAUAGAAGCAUCUGAAAGUAGUCAUUUGGCCAUGUUGGAAGAGGCUAAAGCAAUUCUUAGUAUUUUUCAUGGUUGCCUCACAACCAGAACUGUGUUUAGCAGCACAAAUUUACCAUUUUUGCCAACAGAAGCACUUGUUAAAGAGUCAUUAAGUGAAUUAGCAAGGUAGUUGCAAGUAGAAUGGCAAAGAUAUAGAAGGUUUAAUUGUAACAAAACAACAAACUGCUGUCUAUGCAUAUGCACUUUGUUUUCCUAAAUGGCAUGUAGUAUUUUAUGUUAAAUUCGUACAUACAAAAAUUUUCCCAUGAUGAAUCUGGCAAUACUUAACUUGAGCAAAAUGAAACUUAAAACCAACCUCAUCACCUAGCAUGUAUUGAUGAUUAUGAUCAAUCAAAGUGAAAUUUCAAAAAAGAAAACUGUCAAUGUACCUUUCCAGUUUUUGUAUCCACAACAUUUGAAAUAUGCAGGCGAGGGAGAGCAAUAGCCCUGAGAUAAUCGCAUUCCUGUGAAGAUAAAAUAAUUUUAAUACACUCGUAUGCCCAUCAUCAGCAUAGUUUUUAUUCAGCAGAUGAUUUUUUUUUUAAGUUACUGUUAAUUGCCCAGGUGUAGCAUAUUUGAUGUUUGAUCUACUUUCAUGGGAUAGGAAGAUCUUAUAUAUGGCUAACAAGCAUAUCACACUUUAGAUCUAGCAGACUAGCACUUCACGAGCAAACUUCUUUUUUUAAUUUCCCACUCAAUAGGUGAGAGACUAAUCACCCAGGGCAUGAUCAAGAAGUAAAGCAGAGAACCCUUCCCAACAGAAUUUUUUCCAUACACAAAUCUCGGAAUCAAACCCAAGAACACACAAUUAAGAGAUUUGAGCACCCUUCCGCUCAGACCAACACGUGUUGGUACCUCAUAAGGAAAUUUUAAUUGACUCUUCAAUCUUCACUGAUGAAGCACCAGAAUAGAUCCACUCAUCCACUAAAUGGUACUUUGCCAAGAGAAAUUGAAGAAUAUGCAAUUAAGUGAAAAGGGUCCCAGAUGGCAAGAGUGGAUGCUUGAUAGGGUCUUUCUUUUUUGUUUAACAGCCUUAACUCCAGUAGUUUAUAUGAUCUUAUAUAUAGACACACACUCACACAUACACACAGAGUCCAAACAUGCAGUUUCUAGUUUUCCCAUAAACAAAAGCACAGAAUAUAAUGACAAUUAUAGAAUGAUGUAACUAUUAGAUUUAUACCUUAACUUUACAACCAAAUUAAUAGAUAUGUUAGAAUUAACAAUGGUUUACCAUAAUAUGGUUGUAAUUCAGGGAUUCUGAGUUUUAAGAGUGAAUGUUUCCCUUUUUUUCUUAUUAUUGACAAACAUGCCUGGCUCAACAUACGAGAAUAGAUGCCAACAAAGAAACCAUCAAACUAGAAAGAAAUUUAGAAUGAUUGUGUUCUGCAGAGACAACACUAGAUUUUAUUUUUAAUAAAAAAACUCAUGAAUCUCGUCCGUAGUUCCAAAUGCCUCAAGAAUGCCAUAACUACAACCUCUUUCCUUUUUG
rnacentral:lncRNA from 1 species